AAGCGCCAGAAGGCCCUCGGAGCUGGACCUCAGUGUCCGGGAUGAACGAUGGGGGUGGAGACACUCCUUGGAGCGUCUGCAACAGCGCUUUCCCCACUAGCAAAUCUCAUCAAGUGUUGUUGCUGCGUUGGGGGUGAGAUGAGUUGGGGAGGCCCUGCAUACAGCCUGCUGGCUGGAGGCUACUCACUCCUGGCUUAAAGUGUGUCUUUGGGGUGCUUUGAAAUGCCCCGAGGAACAGAUCCACCAAAGCUUACUUCUAUACCAUAUUUUGCAAUGGCUAAAAUCUUUGUACCUUCAGACGAGCGAAACUGACAUGGGCCACAGAUACGCCAUGCAUUAAAGGUGUUAAGUUGUGGGUGAACAUAUCAGAUGACACAGCAAUUCUUCAAACAGCUCUCGUUUAUUCACAGGCCAGAACAGAACAGAACAGAACAGAACUGAAGGGUUCAGCCAGCCUGCUUAUAUAGAGCUCCACUACAUCGCAACAGUAACCACUUUCUGUAACUAUCCAAUCACUGAACGUCACUUUCAAUCCCUUAUUUGCAUAUGUGGACCUGAGUGAAAACUAUCUACAGUAUCCCCCUGCUGGCCCAGGGUGAAAACUUCAGUACAUAACAAAAGGUACACUCCCACCCCUUCAAAGAAUCCUGGGAACAGUAGUUUGCCCCCACGGCACUACAAUUCCGAGCACCCUUAACAAACAACAGUUCCCAUGAUUCUUUGAUGUGCUUUAAACGUGUGGUGUGUAUGUAGCUGUGGGCUCUCGGGCAAGACAAGGCAUCCCUUCUGGACCCACUGUCCUUCAUGUUACUGAAAUAUCAUCUCUGAAAUAUCAGAGGUGCCAUUUGAAGAAAUGCACAUCCUGAUCUCCCUUGGUUUUGCCACGGCGAGCCCCUGCCGGGGUAUCCGGUAUGCCCCAUGGAGAACCUCAAGGUCCAUAAAUAGCAACACCCUAGUGGUGCCGGGCCCUAAGGAAGUUAGAUUGGCUUCAACCAGAACCAGGGCCUUUUCAACUCUGGCUCCGGCCUGGUGGAACGCUCUGCCUCAUGAGACCAGGGCCCUGCAGGAUCUGAUUUCUUUCCGCAGGGCCUGUAAGACAGAGUUGUUCCGCCUGGCCUUUGGCUUGGAGCCAAUUUGAUUCCCUCCCUCUCUUUCUUUUUUCUUUUCCUUUCUCCUCCUGCGAUGAGGUUACAUUUUAAUAUUUUUAUGUUUCAAUAUUUUAAUGUUGUAUUUUAAUUUUGUUUUUGAGUUGUAAUCAUUCAACUUGUUUUUAUUAUUGCUUGUUAGCCGCCCUGAGCCCGGCCUUGGCUGGGGAGGGCGGGGUAUAAAUAAAAAUUAUUAUUAUUAUUAUUAUUAUUAUUAUUAUUAUUAUUAUUAUUAUCUGGAUUAACUGGGAAUAGUUAUGGCAGCAGAAACAGGCGGGCAUUUUUUGGUCAAGGGGUGACCUCUUUCGGAUUGUUAAGCAUUGGUUGUUCGUUCGCUGGAGCGGAGGCGAGGAGAAUGCCACAGCAACUCUCGCUAAAACCUUCCCGGAUCGAUCGGCUGUGUCUGGAUCUAAGAAGACGUGGCGGCGGCGUUCGCAGUGGUCCCUCGCCUCCCCUUGCUGCUCCUUUCCUCCUUAAUUGAAGUUUGUUUGAGCACAUCCUGAGAGCCCAAGCCAAAUAUUUAGUUGCUGCAAAUUGGCACUCCGGAUCAAUUACUAGCUGACUUGACAAGUGUCACUUUCCACCCUCCCUACGCCAUCCCUUUGGGCUCAGGAAUCAGCAUCUUGGCGCAUGUGGGUCCCUCCCCUUCGCAAGCCCAGAUCUGCUGCUCCCUCUGCAAGCACGUUUUUCAUCAGGCUCAGCAAUCUAUCACCUGAGCUAAGGCGAGAUUUUCAAUGAAGAAAAGUUCUUCUUUGCUAAUUCUCCCCGUGCAGGCCUGUGUCUGCCGGGAACUUUCCCCUCUCUCUCUCCCUGGACUUUGAAAGUUGGAGAAAAAUCGGCUGCGCCCUUGCGCAUUUAUCACUUCGGUUCGUCCGUGACUGCAAUGCAACAGGCCUGGAGUUAACGUAUUCUUUCUAAAACCGGCAGACAUUUGCAGAGAAAAGAGGUUUCCCACCCUUCUCGUCAUCUCAGAAUUACUGUACUUUGUCCUUGUUGUUGCAUAAAAGGUAAAGGGACCCCUGACCAUUAGGUCCAGUCGUGGCCGACUCUGGGGUUGCGGCGCUCAUCUUGCUUUAUUGGCCGAGGGAGCCAGCGUACAGCUUCCAGGUCAUGUGGCCAGUAUGACUAAGCCGCUUCUGGCGAACCAGAGCAGGGCACGGAAACGCCGUGUACCUUCCCGCCGGAGCGGUACCUAUUUAUCUACUUGCACUUUGACGUGCUUUCAAACUGCUAGGUUGGCAGGAGCAGGGACCGAGCAACGGGAGCUCACCCCAUCGCGGGGAUUCAAACCGCCAACCUUCUGAUCGGCAAGUCCUAGGCUCUAUGGUUUAACCCACAGCGCCACCCGCAUCCCAGGUCCCAAAAUAUGCUGCAGUCACAACUUUCCUCUGCACAGCAAUUUUGCUUCUCCCUGUCCCGGCUUUGAAAGCUGGCCUUCCUCCCAAUGUUGCCUUUGCUCAGAUUGAUGUGGCCUUCAGUAUAAAUGACCGGCAAUGAAGAUGUUCAGUUUUCCCAUGGUUUAAAGCAGGAAUAGGGACGUGAGUGGCGCUGUGGGUUAAACCACAGAGCCUAGGAUUUGCCGAUCAGAAGGUCAGCGGGUCGAAUCCCCAUGACGGGGUGAGCUCCCGUCCUUGGUCUCUGCUCCUGCCAACCUAGCCGUUCGAAAGCACGUCAAAGUGCAAGUAGAUAAAUAGGUACUGCUCCGGCGGGAAGGUAAACGGCGUUUCCCUGCGCUGCUCUUGUUCGCCAGAAGUGGCUUAGUCAUGCUGGCCACAUGACCCGGAAGCUGUACGCCGGCUCCCUCAGCCAAUAAAGCGAGAUGAGCACUGCAACCCCAGAGUCGGCCACGACUGGACCUAAUGGUCAGGGGUCCUUUUACCUUUUAAAGCAGGAAAGAGGAACCUGCAGCCCUGCAUAUGCUGUUGGACUCCAACUCCCAUCAUCCCCAGCAAGCAUAGCCAACGCCCAGGGAUGAUGGGAGUUCGAGUCCAGCAACAUCUGGUUCCCCAACUUUGGUUUAAAGUAGGGAUGAAGAACCAGUGGUCAUCCAGAUAUGGUUGGGGUUUAUUGGGCUUGUACGUUGCUUCCACAGAGAAGUCCCAAAGAGAGUUACAAUCAAAAUCGGGUCGCAAAAUGGCUCAGUGCGUCUGGCUACUAACCAGAAAGUUGGUGGUUCGAGCCCAACCAGGGAUGUCUGUGGACAGGAUUCCUGCAUUACACGGGACCAAUGAAGAAGAAGAAGAAGAGUUUGGAUUUGAUAUCCCGCUUUAUCACUACCCGAAGGAGUCUCAAAGCGGCUAACAUUCUCCUUUCCCUUCCUCCCCCACAACAAACACUCUGUGAGGUGAGUGGGGCUGAGACACUUCAGAGAAGUGUGACUAGCCCAAGGUCACCCAGCAGCUGCAUGUGGAGGAGCAGGGAAGCGAACCCGGUUCCCCAGAUUACGAGACUACCGCUCUUAACCACUACACCACACUGGCUCUCUCCAAACCGAGUGAAUGGGCAGUGAAAUGGCAAAGUGAUGCAUGUCAAGGCAAAAAAUAUAUUUCUUAAUUUCACAUAAACGUUUUUAUAUUUAAUCCAGGAUUUUCUCUUGCCAUGGAAAAUCUGUCAAGUAAAAAUAAUCUGUUAUACAAUUGCAGAUGCUGCUGGUGCGAAGCUCAUUAGCUCACUUUUUGGGUGGGCGGUUUGUCACACCCGUGGUGAUGUUUUGGGGUGGGGUGGCCCAUAUCACCACAGCUCUAUAUCCUGUUUACUCCUCGUCUGAGCACAACGUAGCUUCUUUGUUUCCAGCCACCCAAAAUAAUAUAAACACGUCUAUUUCUAUCCAUGUCGGAAUUCUGACAAUGCGGUUAAGAAGGUCUGUUCUCUCAAGAUCUCUAGACACUGGAGGGGAGAUUACCUCGGAGGUUACAAUCACAUUACAGUGGUACCUCGGGUUAAGUACUUAAUUCGUUCCAGUGGUCCGUUCUUAACCUGAAACUGUUCUUAACCUGAAGCAUCACUUUAGCUAAUGGGGCCUUCUGCUGCUGCCGCGCAGGCGGAGCAUGAUUUCUGUUCUCAUCCCAUAGCUGUCAACCUUCCCUUUUUUGCGGGAAAUUCCCUUAUUCCAGCGCCGUUUCUCACUGCUUCCCACUGCUAUCCUGGAUUGUUAGCUAUCCUAUAGACCAGGGGUCUGCAACCCGUGGCUCCGGAGCCGCAUGUGGCUCUUUUACACCUUUGCCGCGGCUCCGGGGCGGAUACUAGCGAGGGGAGGAGGCGCAUUGUGUGCCCCGACACUCCCCACUGUGGUGGGCGCUGUACUGUGGUGGGCGCUGUACGCACCGCCCCGACGUCACCUUCCCGCCCGCCCGCCCGCUACAUUGUAAGGGGCAUGUACGCUGGUCACUGCAUUGAAAGGGGGCAUGUACGCUGGUCACUGUUUUGAAGGGGAGUGAAGAACACACACACACACACAAAGGUAACUUGUUAAUUCAACGUUUAUUUCUAUGAGGAGGAGUAAUUCUGAGGGGUCAAACAAAGAAAUAAUAAAAAAGUGACAAAAAAGUUAUUUUUAUAAUGACGAGUUUUGCGGCUCCCAGUUUUUUUAUCUUCGGAAACGGGUCCAAGUGGCUCUUUUUGUCUUAAAGGUUGCAGACCCCUGCUAUAGACUGUCCCCGGGACAGGUGAGGCUGUUGAUCCCUUGUUUUCAAAUCUGAAAGUUGACAGAUAUGUCUCAUCCUGAAGUUCUUAACCCGAGGUACUAUUUCUGGGCUAGCGGAGUCUGUAACCUGAAGCGUCUGUAACCUCAAGAGCCUGUAACCCGAGGUACCACUGUACACAUGUACAUCUGCACUUUUUAAAAUCCAGAAUUAAUACAGGGGUCUUGUGCACGACCUCUUUAGCAGGAUUUUGACACGGCUAAAUAUCAGUCUUGUGCAAGAACUGUGCAUUCAUUAAAAUAAAAUAAAGCCCAAUACAAUACCAACUGGAAAUGGAUAUUGUUGUCACCACCACCAAAAGCAGAAACCUCAAUUUUGCUCAUUAUGAAACAUGAUAACUGGGAUCUGGUAAGCAUGGGUGGAUCAUAAAAUUGUAGCGUUGGAAGGGAUCCUGAGCAUCAUCUAGUCGAACCCCCUGCAACGCAGGAAUACACAGCUAUCUCAUACAGGGAUCGAACCUGCAACCUUGGUGUUAUCCGGACCAUGUUCUGAUCUGUCAAUUCUCCCAAUUUCUCAUUUUCCAGCUCCCCACAUUUCCACAUAUUCGGUUUUUUUUAAAGGUCCUCAAGAAAAUUUAUUAGCAUUUUCACACGAAUUUCUUUCUAAUAUACACAUUCUGUAUGGAAUGCUACCUAAUACACACAUUUCUGCAAAGCAAUUUUCCCCCAAUACAAUGCAUCCUAUUUUCACUAACGUGCCUUUGUAUCCAAACUUUACCCCAAUACCGAGAACUGCAUUGCAAAAUCGGGAGAAGUGUGAAUUUGGAAAGGAGGGCUGAGUUUCCAAAUUAGGUACACGCAAAUUUUAACUGCAAACUGAAGUGAAUCCUCAGGUGCUGGCAAUGUUUCCUCCUGCACAAAACCUAUGGAUUUUUUAAAUAAAUAAAAAACCCCUAAAAGUUCUCUGCAAGGGGAACAGCGAUUGAAAACACAGCCAGGACUGUGGAAGAAAGGUGUUAAGUUUACUGCAUGUAUGAUGUUAAAGGAAAAUGUUAUGAAAGUGAUGUAUACAUGGUACUUAACCCCAGUAAGUACGCAGGUGACGCUGUGGGUAAAACCUCAGUGCCUAGGGCUUGCCGAUCACAUGGUCGGCGGUUCGAAUCCCCGCGGCGGGGUGAGCGCCCGUCUUUCGGUCCCAGCUCCUGCCCACCUAGCAGUUCGAAAGCACCCCUAAGUGCAAGUAGAUAAAUAGGUACCGCUUUAUAGCGGGAAGGAAAACGGCGUUUCCGUGUGCUGCGCUGGUCUGGCUUGCCAGAGCAGCUUCGUCACGCUGGCCACGUGACCCGGAAGUGUCUCCGGACAGCGCUGGCCCCCGGCCUCUUAAGUGAGAUGGGCGCACAACCCUAGAGUCGGACACGACUGGCCCAUACGGGCAGGGGUACCUUUACCUUUACCUUUAACCCCUGUAAAACUAACAAAGAUCUACCACAAGAGUGACAAUUUGUGUUGGAAAUGUAAAGAAAAAGAAGGAACCUUUUAUCAUAUGUGGUGGACCUGUCCCAAGGUGAAAGACUUCUGGGAAAAGAUUUAUAAUGAAUUGAAAAAAAUGUUGAAACAUACAUUUAUUAAGAAACCAGAGCCCUUUCUUCUUGGAAUAAUAGGUUUGGAAUUGCCCAAGAAAGAUGUUAGAUUGUUUUUGUAUGCCACAACUGCAGCUAGAAUUUUGUUGGCCAAAAAUUGGAAAUUACAAGUACCAACAGUGGAAGAAUGGCAGAUGAAGAUGAUGGACUUUUGGGAGCUAGCCGAACAGACUGGAAGAGUCCGCGGCCAGGACGAGGAGGAGUACCAGGAGGAAUGGAUGAAAUUUAAAGACUAUUUAGCUAAAUAUGCUAAGAUAACUUGAAUAGAAAUACUUGCAAGUACCAGAUUGGCUUAGGAUUUAAAUAUGUGAAGUUAUAGAAUAAUAUAUCUAAAGUUAAAAUGAAAAGAAAGAAAGAUGUUAAUUGAUUAAGUAAAUUUUAUGAGAAAUUAGUUUUGGAAAACUGUUACAAUGAUAUACAUAGAAACUCAGCCAGGGGGAUUUGAGGAAGUCACUUAACAAUGUUAACAAAAGUGGAAUUAUUAUAGUUAGGAUUUUUGUUUGUUUGUUUGUUUAUGUUUGUCAUAAAUUUGGAAAAUCAAUAAAAAAAAAAAUGGGGGGGGGGGAAUGAAAACAUAGCCAAGAAACUUUCCAUGCAGGACCAACCACUAGCGACAAGAGGAAACAACAGAAUACCUAUGACUAAAAAAAGACUAAACCUAAGACUAAUCUAAGACUAAAAUCCAAAGUGUGUGGUUGGCCCUGAGCCAAUUGCACACGCAGAAAAAAAAUCAGCUUUCUGUGACCCAUCUUUGAGAUGAAGCUCCCACCCCGAAGGACCCCUUGUGAGUUAUUAAAGUGUUACAAAAGUUGGGUGCCGUCCGCACUGUCUGCCAAGCGACAGCAAGAUCCCAGGGGGGUUCGAGGCACUCACCCAGGGUCUGUGUUCCUUUGGAGUAUUGAGACACAGCAGAGACUGUCGUAGCUUUAAGAAAUAGGGUUUAUUCACCUAUUUACGCCUUUGGCCUGCAUGGAGGGAGUCCAGAUCUUGCAGGACGGUCAUUUCAAGAGGGGCUUGUCCUCCACAGCAAGUCCAAGGCAUCUUCCCCAGCCAGCAAGCAGCCAGCCUGCCAAAGAUGGAUCCCAUCUUCCUCCAUCUUCUUCCCAGAACACCUUGCUAAAAACUCUCUUUUCAUGUCGCUAGAAACACACAGCCCUUCGCCUUGGCAACAUCUGUCUCCCCAGGCCAAAGGAUUCCUCUCAGAAGACCCAUCGACCCCUUUUGUCAUGCUAACAGAUUGGCCAGCCAGGCUGGUUUCCAUAAGCCAGACCAGGAAUUCCUUGCCCGGCCCAGCUCUGCAGCUUGUACUUUCAUCCAUAUCCCAAUUAAUCAAAACCAUUUAUUAAUUUCUAGAAUUUAGGGGGGUGUCCUCCAGACCCUCCAAGUGUCCCUGUUUUCCAGGGACAGUCCCGGAUUUACAGGUUUAUGAUUUGAUCCUGGAAUGUCCAGCUUUUCCUUAGGAUGUCCCUAUUUUCAUUGGAGAAAUGUUGGAGGGUAUGGAGUUAUGCAACCACUGAGUAACUAGACAACCUUUUGAAGACAUCUGAAGGCAGCCUUGGAUAAGGAAGUUUUUAAAUGUUUAAUGUUUUAUUAUCUUUUUAUAUUAUGUCGGAAGCCGCCCAGAGUGGCUGGGGAGACCCAGUGAGAUAGGAGGUGUAUAAUUAUUAUUAUUAAAGAGGAUGUUGCUAUUUUCAUUGGAGAAAUGUUGGGUGGCAUGGAUGGUAUAGCCUAUAACAAUAGGCUAGGAAGCCGUGCUUUCAGAAUAUCCCCCCCCCCAACACAGAAUUGAUGUUUUAUACUUUUACCCAGUCCUUUUUUUCGGGGGUGGGGGGGGAUGCAGGGGUUCGUAUACUCCUAACCAUUUUGUGACUCUUUGUACUUUUGUCCAUUUACUGUAUUUAUUUCCCCCGAUUUUAACUAUAAAAUGGUGAUUUUCUUGAGUCAAAAUGAGAGUAUGGUACCCCUAAACUAUUUUUUUUAAGAAAAAAAGCUCGGCUUUUACCAUUUGGUAGCCAAAUAGAAAGCAAGACUUGUUUGUAGAAAGCAAGAUUCUAGUCCUUAUGAGUGCACCUUUCUCCACCCAGUUUUUCCUGAGCUUUCGCAUUUUCUGAGUCUGAGGGUUGAGGGAGAAAACACUGGCAUUCUCACCGGGGGAAGAGCAAAUGAUAUACAGUGGUACCUCAGGUUACAUACACUUCAGGUUACAUACGCUUCAGGUUACAGACUCCACUAACCCAGAAAUGGUGCUUCAGGUUAAGAACUUUGCUUCAGGAUGAGAACAGAAAUCGUGCUCUGGCGGCAGCAGGAGGCCCCAUUAGCUAAAGUGGUGCUUCAGGUUAAGAACAGUUUCAGGUUAAGAACGGACCUCCGGAACAAAUUAAGUGCUUAACCUGAGGUACCACUGUAUAAGGAAAGCCUUGUCGCCAAUGAACAGCAAUUUUUGUUCCGCGCAACCCACAUAAGUAGAAGUGCAGGGGGACCGACGACAAGAGGAGGCAGUUUUAGGCGGGAGGCGCAAUUAUUUUGUGAACUGAAGUGCGAUGCAGAAGAUUAAAGAGCAUCUCUGAAGCGAAUCAAUAAGAGAGAAAUCUAGGACAACGUAUAAGGGUCCUGCGCGGAAGCAACUUUGGUCCGUAAAAUAUCUUUCCUGCCCUUAUGUCCGUGUUUUGUUGCUGUGACCAGCUAAAAGGAAAAGGAGAAGGAGGAGAAAAAGAAAAAGACCUCUGUUCGCCUUUGUCCCUCUGUAUGGUUGCUGGGCAACAGGAGCCUAAAAGUGGUCUCAUAAUGGCUCCAAGAUGGCUCACCCCUUUUAAACCUUUGAGGCCAAGAGUCAGGAGCCCCCUGAGCCAUUCGUACUAAUACUAAAUGCUUUGGUGAGGACGCAGCCUCUCUUGACCCCCUUUGGGGGAUGGAAAACAAGGACACACAGCUUUUUUCCUGCCUCAGCCUGACUCUCCUGCUAGUGUGUACUUUCAGAAGCUUGGCUCUUGGCACUGAAAAAGAACCUGGACGGAUCAGGAAAAGCUUCCACCUAGUUCAGGAUCCAGUGCCACUGUAUUCUGCUCUGGUCAGCCCUCACCUGGAGUACUGUGUCCAGUUCUGGGCACCACAGUUCAAGAAGGACACUGACAAACUGGAACGUGUCCAGAGGAGGGCAACCAAAAUGGUCAAAGGCCUGGAAACGAUGCCUUAUGAGGAACGGCUAAGGGAGCUGGGCAUGUUUAGCCUGGAGAAGAGGAGGUUAAGGGGUGAUAUGAUAGCCAUGUUCAAAUAUAUAAAAGGAUGUCACAUAGAGGAGGGAGAAAGGUUGUUUUCUGCUGCUCCAGAGAAGCGGACACGGAGCAAUGGAUCCAAACUACAAGAAAGAAGAUUCCACCUAAACAUUAGGAAGAACUUCCUGACAGUAAGAGCUGUUCUACAGUGGAAUUUGCUGCCAAGGCGUGUGGUGGAGUCUCCUUCUUUGGAGGUCUUUAAGCAGAGGCUUGACAACCAUAUGUCAGGAGUGCUCUGAUGGUGUUUCCUGCUUGGCAGGGGGUUGGACUCGAUGGCCCUUGUGGUCUCUUCCAACUCUAUGAUUCUAUGAUUCUAAAAGAAGCCAGAUAAAUGAAUAUGGGAUUCAGGGGUGAACUGCAGGCCCGAGUCUCCCUAUUUCCUAGGGACAGUCCCAGGUUUACAGAAGCCGUCUGAGUUUCUUAUUUGAUCCCGGAGUGUUCCUCUUUUCCUUAGAGCAUCCCUGUUUUCAUUGUAGAAAUGCUGGAGGGUAUGGAAUAGGACAUCCCUACUUUUGUCAGAUAAAUGUUGGAAGGGAUAUCUCUUAUUUUCAUCAGGGAAAUGUUGGAGGGCAUGGAAUACUGCAGGGGUCAGCAAACUUUUUCAGCAAGGGGCUGGUCCACUGUCCCUAAGACCUUGUGGGGGGCAGAUUGUAUUUUUUGGGGGGGAGAUAUGAAUGAAUUCCGACGCGGGUGUCCCUGUGGGUUAAACCACAGAGUCUAGGGUUUGCCGAUCAGAAGAUCGGCAGUUCGAAUCCCCACGAUGGGGUGAGCUCCUGUUGCUCAGUCCCUACUCCUGCCAACCUAGCAGUCUGAAAGCACAUCAAAGUGCAAGUAGAUAAAUAGGUACCACUCCGGCGGGAAGAUAAAUGGCGUUUCCGUGCGCUGCUCUGGUUUGCCAGAAGCAGCUUAGUCAUGCUGGCCACAUGACUGUACGCCGGCUCCCUCGGCCAAUAAAGCGAGAUGAGCACCGCAACCCCAGAGUCGGCCAUGACUGGAACUAAUGGUCAGGGGUCCCUUUACCUUUACAAAUAACCCAGAGAUGCAUUUUAAAUAAAAGGACACAUUCUACUCAUGUAAAAACAUGCUGAUUCCUGGACCGUCCGCAGGCCGGAUUUAGAAGGCGAUUGGACCGGAUCCCGCCCCCGAGCCUUAGCUUGCCUCCCAUGGAAUAGGGUGUCCCUAUUUUCACUGGAUAAAUAUUGGAGGGUAUGGAACAGAUCCUGGCAUUUCCAUUGGAAAAUAGUUACUGGUAGCAGGACUCUCCUCUGUAGGCCUUUCACAUUUGAUCAUAGUAUCAGAGACUUGUAGAGUUGGAUGGGACCCCGAGGGUCAUCCAUCCAACCCCCUGCAAUGCAGAAAUCUCCGCUAAAUCAUCCACGACAGAUGGCCUGCUUAAAACCUCUGCUUAAAAACCUGCGAAGGAGAGUUCACAACCUCCCAACAGAGAGACUCUUCCCUAAAUUAUUGGGCAGUGGGACUGCCCUCCCACUACCCACCAGUGCCAAUGGGCCUGAUUCUGCUUCACAUGUGUAUUGCAGAUGGAGCCUUGGAGCAGAAUUGUGGUGAUGGGCUGAGAUCUGUCUCCCUUCCACAUCCCUGUAUAGAAGCAACUUCAGACACUUUCUUCUCUCAAUAUAUGCCUGCUUAAUCUUUCUUGGAGAGACAAAGGGCUCUCGGAACUGACAUUUCAAUAUCAUGUUUGUUUUGCACUGGGGUGGGUGAGAUGCUGCUCCAGGAAGGAUAUAUGGCUACAAUGCCAUAAUAAUAUUACUUGGGAAGAAGCUGGAGAUUUUGCUGCUCUCUCACAACAGCAACCCCCCCCCCCCAAUGAUUCAAAUCAACUUGUGUAACUUUAAUAUUGGCGCUUAUGGCACCUUCUGUGUGUAGAGGUUUAUUGUUAACGCUGAUCCUCAAAAUAGGUUUCGAUGCAAGAUGGUUAUUGGGUCGCUACCUUUGAUUGGCACAUAGGUAAACAUAAUAAAAGCUGCAAGCAAGGGCGGGGGGGGGAGAAAGAGUUUGCCAAGGUUGUGAUCAGCUAGAAAAAUGCAAGCUGUGCUGCUGAUAGAAGUAGUGCGACUCAUGCAACACGCUGGCGAUUAAUAUACACAGAACAAUACAGUGGUACCUCGGGUUAAGUACUUAAUUUGUUCCGGAGGUCCAUACUUAACCUGAAACUGUUCUUAACCUGAAGCACCACUUUAGCUAAUGGGGCCUCCUGCUGCUGCCGCGCCACCGGAGCAUGAUUUCUGUUCUCAUCCUGAAGCAAAGUUCUUAACCUGAAGCACUAUUACUGGGUUAGCGGAGUCUGUAACUUGAAGCAUAUGUAACCUGAAGCGUAUGUAACCCGAGGUACCACUGUAAUUAUACACACUUUAUCAACCUUCUGAGAAAAAUACAAAACAUUAAACAAAGCCACAAAGACUUGCGAACUACCCAGCCUAAAAUGAACUUAUAAUGUCUGGUUUCAAUAGAUUUUUCAAAUGCUUAACUCAGUCUUUUAGAUAAGUUCAUGAAGAGACCAACAAAAGGUAAGUUCGGUGAUAUUCACAAUACCGAGAGAUGCUAGUAGAGUUGUAAAGGUAAACUCAUUAGGUCCAGUCGUGAUCAACUCUGGGGUUGCGGUGCUCAUCUCGCUUUACUGGCCGAGGGAGCCAGUGUACAGCUUCCAGGUCAUGUGGCCAGCAUGACUAAGCCGCUUCUGGCGAACCAGAGCAGCACAUGGAAACGUCGUUUACCUUCCUGCCAGAGCGGUACCUAUUUAUCUACUUGCACUUUGAUGUGCUUUCGAACUGCUAGGUUGGCAGGAGCAGGGACCGAGCAACAGGAGCUCACCCUGUCGCGGGGAUUCGAACCGCCGACCUUCUGAUCGGCAAGUCCUAGGCUCAGUGGUUUAGACCACAGCGCCACCCGCGUCCCUAGUAGAGUUGUAGAUAGAUGUUAAUAAAGUUGUAGACAAUGAAGUUGUAGACGACAGGGUGCCGGCAUUUUGCACCUGUUUCACCCUGGCAGUCCAAAUAAUCAAAAGGCCGCUGUUUGCCCCUGAUGGGGCCAUUUAACUGGGGCUUGCAGGUAAAACACUCCCAAAAUAGUUUUCCGGGCUUCAUCAGUGGUCUAAUCUCAGAUUCUUGAUACGUGUAUUGAUAUUCAAUCUUAUAGAGAAUACUCUUUCUUGGCUUAAGCUUAAGAGACUGAUUUGCUUCUGAUCAGGGCCGUCUUAAGCAUAUCCAGCGCUGUGGUGCGAAGAUCCCUCUGGUGCCCCUCCCCCCGUUUCCCAGAGUUGUCAACCUUUUUAAGGGGGGGCCCCCAAAGUUGUUGACAUUUUUAAGAAAGGCUGCUCCCGCCCUCGCGCUACUGCCCCAUGCUGCUUGCGCACGGCCGGGCAUCGGCUCCCGCGGUGGGAUCAUGGUGUAGGGCUGGGAAGCCGGGCGCGAUGGGGGCGCACGGGAGGCAGGCAGGGGUCUCGUCCGGGCAGGGGCAGGCGAAGCGAGCUGGGUCAUCCCCGUCGCCACAGCAGAGAAGUGCGCUCACUCAGUCGCAGUCUCGCCGUCCUUGCUUGGGGAGGAAGCGGGGAGAGAGAGCGUGACUGUGAGGGGAUUGAGCAGGGGAAGGAAACGCGGUUCGUGUGAAGGAUUGCAGAGGUGGGGGGGCAGCGGGAGGAGGCAGGAUCCGUGCAAGGCGGUGGAGAAGCAGGGGAAGGACGGAGGGGCGCUGGGGGCAGCAGUUGCAGUGUGUGGCCUUGAGUGCGGGGAUCUUUCAACGUAGAAGAAGAGUUUCGAUUUGAUAUCCCGCUUUAUCACUACCCAAAGGAGUCUCAAAGCGGCUAACAUUCUCCUUUCCCUUCCUCCCCCACAACAAACACUCUGUGAGGUGAGUGACGCUGAGAGACUUCAGAGAAGUGUGACUAGCCCAAGGUCACUGAAAUAUACUCGGAGUCGAGUAUGGAUUUCAUGCUCUUUAUUCAGCUCAUAGUAGUGAGGAAUGGAAGUUCCCCCGAAAUGUCUGCUUUAUAUACAUUAUUUACACAAUGGGCCCCACGUGAUUGGCUAAUUCCGAGAUUCUCCUGUAGGCCAAUCAGGUUGCGGAUUCACUUCCACCUGGAGUUCGAUUGGGUGGGCUCCUGCGGACCAAUCAGACUGCUGCAAUUUGGAUCCUAUUCAACUCAGUACAUAACAGUCACCCAGCAGCUGCAUGUGGAGGAGCGGAGAUGCAAACCCUCUUCACCAGAUUACGAGUCUACCGCUCUUAACCACUACACCACACUGGUUCACUGGUAGAGUGGAUGGGGGGAGCAAUGGUAGAGUCACGUUUAUUAUGCGCAGAGCUUGGGAUGCAAGCACACACUACGCAACCGAGGAGGUGGUGUGUCAUGGAGCCAGCGGAGAGAGCUCCGGACUGUGGAAAAGCAUCCAGAACCUUCCCGCCUCUGACGGGCGCUGGAGGCGCGCAGGCACCAAGCCCCCGCUCCGCCUCGCUUACCUCCCCAUUCUCCCCUCCCCGGACUCUCCCCGGACUCUCCGCCUGGCGCCCUCCACUGCUUGGGGCCCUGGCUCGCCGCACCACUAUGCCCAAUGGUAAAGACGUCCCUGGUUGUGAUCCAGAGCACACGUCAACUGUGAAAGAAGCCAGUGUGUAGAAAAAGCCAGUGUGUUGUGAUGUCUGGGGCUGCAAACACACCCUAUACAGUGGUGCCUCGGGUUACAUAUGCUUCAGGUUACAUACGCUUCAGGUUACAGACUCCGCUAAGCCAGAAAUAGUGCUUCAGGUUAAGAACUUUGCUUCAGGAUGAGAACAGAAAUUGUGCGGCGGCAGCAGGAGGCCCCAUUAGCUAACGUGGUGCUUCAGGUUAAGAACAGUUUCAGGUUAAGUACAGACCUCCAGAACGAAUUAAGUACUUAACCAGAGGUACCACUGUAUCUAAAGCACCUCCCCUCUGUAGUUUGCUAAGGCAAUGGGAAUUGUAGCUUUGUGAGAGAUACGCUGCGGUUCUUUCGGAGAAGACUUGCGCUUUAAAUGUACAGUCGUACCUUGGUUUCCGAACAGCUUAGUUCGCGAACGUUUUGGCUCGCGGAUGCCGCAAACCCAGAAGGGACUGCUCCGGUUUGCAAACUAUUUUUGGAAGCCGAAUGUCUGAUGGGGCUUCUGAUUGGAUCAGAAGCCGUGCCUUGGUUUCCGAACGUUUUGGAAGUCGAAUGGACUUCCAGAAUGGAUUCCUUUCGACUUCCUAGGUACAACUGGACAGUGCAGAAGCAGCCCUGGGUCUCUGAAGCCUCUGCAAUGCAAGCAAAGAAUGAAUACUAUUUGGAAUCCCACUUUAACAUUUAAAGCAAUGUUUCCCUAACUGUCCUAGCAGUUUGAAAGCACGUCAAAGUGCAAGUAGAUAAAUAGGUACCACUCCGGCAGGAAGGUAAACGGCGUUUCCACGUGCUGCUCUGGUUUGCCGGAAGCAGCUUAGUCCUGCUGGCCACAUGACCCGGAAGCUGUACGCCGGCUCCCUUGGCCAAUAAAGCGAGAGGAACGCCGCAACCCCAGAGUCGGUCACGACUGGACCUAAUGGUCAGGGGUCCCUUUACCUUUACCUUCCCUAACUGUCAUUAUAGGGACUGAGGAGGGGGGAUUCAAUUCAGCUUGCAUUUAAAGCCAAAUUUAUCAAAUUCGUGCUUUCUGAAACAACGUGAGAGCCAAACAACAGCCGUCCUUCGAAGUUCCUGCUUAUCUGAAUCUUGCAUUGCAGUUUUCCAGCCAGCCAAUGUUUACAAAAAUGCACAUAUUAGGAUAUAAUGUGCAUAAAUAAUAUAUUGCUGAAGAAUAACAGGCAAAAAUGAGUCAGAUUGGGAGAAACUGCUUGCAAAAAAGUGUACGUUAGUUGAAACUGCGUAUAAAAUGCACCUAUUUGGAGAAAUUCGUGCUAAAAUAGUGAAUAAUUUUCAUGAGGUUUGUUUGUUUGUUUUGCAAAUUUCUGCAUAAAUGUGGAGAACUGAAUGUGGAGAACUGAUAUUGACAGAUCCUUCCUCCCUUGCUUCACAGUGAGAUUCAGGUCUCUUGCCAUUAGCUAAGGAAAACCAAGAUGCCUAGCUGCCUGUUCUAUUUAAGUGUGUUCUAAGAAAGUCAGUACUAGCACAGUAAAGGAGGCAGCUCAAGCUAUAAAUCCCAUUACACAAUUAUUUUCAUCAUUAUAUUGGUUUCUUGCUUAUUUGAUGAAGCGGCCUCAAGCCUACAAAAGCUUCUCCCAGAAUGUCAGGCGCUACCAGACUCUUGCAGCUUUCAUUUUUACUGCAACGGAGUUAAUGUGGCUGCUUGUCUGAACAUCUGGAUACUGGGAAGUUCACAGUGACUUUACACAUUCGAAUGGGAGAGAGGUGGAUGUGCAGAGUUUUAAAUGUGUGACUUAGAAGCUGAAGUCACUGCUGAGUGAAGGACCAUCAGCUGGAGACAGACAGACAAAUAAUAAGCAAAUACAGAUGAGAGCGAGUUUGAGGGAGGGAAGUUGUCAUCUGCUCUUUUUCCGGAAAAAGAGGUGCCAGAACUCACCAUGAAUGCCUAUGUUGUUCUCUUAGAAUGGCAAUAGAGCCCACCUGAGAGGUGUCGGAACAGAGUUCCGGCAAGUUCCGGCUGAAAAAAGCCCUAAUUUUAAACUAGACACCUACAAUGCAUUACAUACACUUUUGGAAAUUCAAAAUGUUCUCCUCAAAAUGUGACCAUAAAGACUUGCUGUUUUUAAUCUCCCCAUUACUAGGGGCACAUUUCGACUUUUGGAAUAAAUGACCCUUCACUCAAAUAACUUUUCCCAUAGCUGAUUUAAGGACAGGUCAAACUUUAAGCCACAUGUUGCUGUCUUACAUGGCUUUGGCCCCACAUACCUGAAGGAACAUCUCCACCUCCAUCAUUCAGUCUGGAGAUCCAACUCUGAGGGCUUUUUGGCAUUUCCCUUACUGCAAGAAGUGAGGUUACAGGGAACCAGGCAGAGGACCUUCUCUGUAGUGGCACCCGCCCUGUGGAACGCCCUCCCACCAUAUGUCAAGGAAAUAAACAGCUACAUGAUUUUUUUAUUUAUUUAUUUGUAUAUAAUUGUUAUUAAAUUUUCUGUUUUACAAUAUUAAGUACUCAUUUUUACAUCCGUAAGAUAUCAGUGACUUCCCUUCUUCUCUUUCCAUUGUUCAUUUUACAUAUCAUAAAUCCCUACAUAUUUUACAAAACCCAUACCAUUCAGUAUUCCGUUAUUGCAUCCAUCAAAACUUAUUUACACUGUUGAAUUUAUCUUAAUGCUGCCAGGGUUUUCAGCUGUACACAAUUAUUUCCCAUAUAUUCUAAAAACGUUUUCCAAUGUUCUCCAAACAUACGUUCUUCUUGUUCUCUUAUUCUGUAUGUUAGGUCUGCAAGCUGCACAUAUUCUGUCAACUUAAGUUGCCACUCUUCUUUGGUUGGGACCUCUCUCGUUCUCCAUUUUGGGGCUAACGAAACACGGGCCGCAGUAGUGGCAUAUAUAAAUAACCUUUUUUGACACCUGGGAAUUUCAGUCUGAAUUAUCCCCAACAGAAUGGGCAGCUACAUGACUUUUAGAAGACAUCUGAAGGCAGCCCUGUCCAGGGAAGUUUCUAAUGUUUGAUGUCUUGCUGUGUUUUAAUUUGCUGGAAGCCUCCCAAAGUGGCCGGGGCAUCCCAGUUAGAUGGGUAGCUUGUAAAUAAAUGAAUCGUUGUUGUUGUUGUUGUUACUACCACCACUACUACUACAACUCACAUCAUCCUUGGCUUUACUGGCUGGGGCUGAUGGGAGUUGGAGUCCAAUAGCAUAUGGAACAACUGAUUGGUUCAAAAUUGGGAAAGGAGUACGACAAGGCUGUAUAUUGUCUCCCUGCUUAUUUAACUUAUAUGCAGAAUUCAUCGUGCGAAAGGCUGGGCUGGAUGAAUCCCAAGCCGGAAUUAAGAUUGCCGGAAGAAAUAUCAACAACCUCAGAUAUGCAGAUGACACAACCUUGAUGGCAGAAAGUGAGGAGGAAUUAAAGAACCUUUUAAUGAGGGUGAAAGAAGAGAGCGCAAAAUAUGGUCUGAAGCUCAACAUCAAAAAAACGAAGAUCAUGGCCACUGGGCCCAUCACCUCCUGGCAAAUAGAAGGGGAAGAAAUGGAGGCAGUGAGAGAUUUUACUUUCUUGCGCUCCAUGAUCAUUGCAGAUAGUGACAGCAGUCACGAAAUUAAAAGACGCCUGCUUCUUGGGAGAAAAGCAAUGACAAACCUAGACAGCAUCUUAAAAAGCAGAGACAUCACCUUGCCAACAAAGGUCCAUAUAGUUAAAGCUAUGGUUUUCCCAGUAGUGAUGUAUGGAAGUGAGAGCUGGACCAUAAAGAAGGCUGAUCGCCGAAGAAUUGAUGCUUUUGAAUUACGGUGCUCUUGAGAGUCCUAUGGACUGCAAGAAGAUCAAACCUAUCCAUUCUGAAGGAAAUCAGCCCUGAGUGCUCACUGGAAGGACAGAUCGUGAAGCUGAGGCUCCAGUACUUUGGCCACCUCAUGAGAAGAGAAGACUCCCUAGAAAAGACCCUGAUGUUGGGAAAGAUGGAGGGCACAAGGAGAAGGGGACGACAGAGGACGAGAUGGUUGGAUAGUGUUCUCAGAGCUACCAGCAUGAGUUUGACCAAACUGCAGGAGGCAGUGGAAGACAGGAGUGCCUGGCAUGCUCUGGUCCAUGGGGUCACGAAUAGACACGACUAAAUGACUAAACAACAACAACAACAGGCACACAGACGACCGCAGGUUCUCCGUCCUCGGCUUAAGCAAAUGGAAGAGAAGUGAAUGAAUGACAACAAAGCCAUCAAUAUCUCCAGCCAGCUCCUCCUCCUCAUUGCAAAGGCAGGAUUGAAGGGGGCUUUGUCUUGGGGUACUGACGCCUGCCACUCACCCACCCACCAUUCUCCAUAGAGUCUUGACAGCUCCAUUAAUCAUACACAGAAGCUUUCUGCAUCAUUAGCACCACAAUAUACUCCCCCCCCUCAAAGCUGGCUCGUUGUCAGAGCUUAGGACCAGCAUAACACAGCUGCCUCCUCCCUUCUCUCUCAUUACGAUCUCUACAACCCACUGUGGGUGUCCCCCUUCGCGACACCAAUUGUGUCAGGUUCAUUCAGCGAAGACACGGUGAGAGAAUCACCUCCCGCUUAGGGAUUUCCCUUCCGCCGCAUAGAUUUCCGAAAUCCGAACCUGAACUCCUUCUGGAGGCACUGUUAAGACCACAAUGUUUGGUUCAGCCUUUCAAGAUUAGGACCAGGGCAGAGACAGGUGGAGGUGUUUAAUGGAGUUGGAUUUGAAUUGGUUCAGAGCCUGCUCUACACCUUGGCGUCCCCCAAACAUUGUGGCACCUCAGGCGGACCUGAAAAUGGCGUCUCCAUCCCUGCCAAGGAAGAAGUGGUAAGGGAAGAUCUGCUGCCCCCGUGAAUCUUGCUGCCUGAGGCAGAUGCCCGGCCCUAACCUUUGGGAUGGGUUCUAAUAAUAAUAAUAAUAAUAAUAAUAAUAAUAAUAAUAAAUUUUUAUUUGUAUCCCACCCUACCUGACCAAAGCCGGGCUCUAUGCAGAUUGUACCGACAACAAAGUGUUGCCGUGUCAGGAUUCUAACCAGACAGCCAUACUUUCUUUCAAAAUGACCCAUUCCACCACCCCAGUCAUCAUUCUUAGUACUAUUACUAUUUUAUUCAUUGCAUUUGCAUGCCAACAUUUUCUCCAAAGAGCUCAAAGUGGCGCACAUGGCUCUCCCCCUCCUCGCUUAAUUCCUGCAACAACCCUGUGAGGUAGGAUAGGCUGAGAGGCGUUGACUUUCCCAACGUCACCCAGUGAGCUUCAUGGCUGAGUGGGAAUUUGAACCUUGGUCUCCCAGGUCCUGUCCUGACACUCUAACCACUACACCACACUGACUCUCUUGCCAACAGUUAGUCAGCAUUCUGUCUUCAAGGAGCCUGCACAGUUCUCAUUUUUACUACAGUGGUACCUCAGGUUACAGACACUUCAGGUUACAGACUCUGCUAACCCAGAAAUAGUAUCUCGGGUGAAGAACUUUGCUUCAGGAUGAUAACAGAAAUUGUGCGGCGGUGGCACAGCAGCAGCAGGAGGCCCCAUUGGCUAAAGUGGUACCUCAGGUUAAGAACAGUUUCAGGUUAAGAACAGCCCUCCAGAACGAAUAAAGUUCUUAACCUGAAAGGGUUUUGUUCUCCAUUUGGCUGCACCAGGCAGCUCUUGUUCUAACUGCCUGAUUUAUGGGCCGCAAUUAAUUGACUUCAUUGCUUUCCAAUGAUGGGAGGUGGACAAUUGGAGUAUCUCAAUAAGCAGCAGUGAUGAAUGGGGGUCACGCUCCUGAGCACCGCUUCUCGGCCUUCGGAAGACCAUUUUUGUUGCGCCUUGCCAUAAUAAAAUGUUGAACUCAGUGGGCGGUCAGGAUGUGGUUCCUAAAUAUUCUAGUGCCGAAUACUUGCAGCUAGCUCCCUUCUUGGCAUCCUCUGUCUUGCUAUUGAUCUCCAGUGCUUGGUGUGAAUAAUUAUGCCACGCGGCUCACCUCUCUCUCAUUUCUGACGCAAGUGACACCCGUUUUCUUGAGUGGCAUAAAAAAGGCUGGAUACAAUAUGGGGGAUGCUUCACAUCAGUAAAGGACCAUUCUGUGCUUCUCCGCAAGGGAUUUAGGAUUCUGAUCUAACAGUGAGUCAAAAGCUGUGAAUACAACUCCCUUUCACAAUUCUGUCACAGGAAACAGACCAAAAAAAUAUAUAAAUGUUUUGGUGCAAACUAAAGUUGGAUGUUCAGAUUUAGAGAAGGAAGGAGGAAGAAAGGGGAGACAUUUUGUUCAAAGUUUUCAGUAGGUUCUAGGCCAGCCUUCCAAUUUUUAACUACAACUUCCAUCAGCCCCAUCAGCACAUAGAAUUUCUCUCCCAUCUCUACUUGCGACCAGACAUGUACAGUGGUACCUCGGGUUACAAACGCUUCAGGUUACAUACACUUCAGGUUACAGACUCCGCUAACCCAGAAAUAUUACCUCGGGUUAAGAACUUUGCUUCAGGAUGAGAACAGAAAUCAUGCAGCGGCGGCGCAGCGGCAGCAGGAGGCCCCAUUAGCUAAAGGGGUGCUUCAGACCUCCAGAACAAAUUAAGUUCUUAACCCGAGGUACUACUGUAUAGGCUUCCAGAGUAAAGUUAUCAGGGAAAAUCAGCAGUACAGUGAAUGAAAAAUACCCUCACAUCAUAUUCAAAAUUAGCCAAAGGCUUUUUUUGAAAUGAAAGCUUCUAUAAGGUAAAGGUAAAGGGACCCCUGACCAUUAGGUCCAGUCGUGACCGACUCUGGGGUUGCGGUGCUCAUCUCGCUUUAUUGGCCGAGGGAGCCGGUGUACAGCUUCCGGGUCAUGUGGCCAGCAUGACAAAACUGCUUCUGGCGAACCAGAGCAGCGCAUGGAAACACCGUUUACCUUCCCGCUGGAGCGGUACCUAUUUAUCUACUUGCACUAUGACGUGCUUUCGAACUGCUAGGUUGGCAGGAGCAGGGACCGAGCAACGGGAGCUCACCCCAUUGCAGGGAUUCGAACUGCUGACCUUCUGAUCAGCAAGUCCUAGGCUCUGUGGUUUAACCCACAGCGCCACCUGCGAGCAUCUAUAUGUGGGAUCUAAAAGCCAGCAAUGACUGGCAGUAGUGUAGCAUUGGUUGCUGGUGCCCGGGGUGCACUUGUGCACUGCUGUCGCCGCUGGAGCAACCCCACCCCCAUUAGAGCAAAGCGGGGUUGUGCUGAGCAGCCUGCCCGUCCGGCCAGCAGACAGAGAGGAGUACCAGGCUGGGGCGUGCUGGGGGCACCUGGUUGGUGCCCCCUCAAGAAUUGUGUGCCCAGGGCCUCAGCCCUUCUGUACAACACCAAGCUACACCCCUGAUGACUAGGCCUAGUGUGUCCUAGUUCCAAAGGAAAGAAGCCACUGCAGUGGUACCUCAGGUUAAGUACUUAAUUCGUUCUGGAGGUCCGUUCUUAACCUGAAGCACCACUUUAGCUAAUUGGGCCUCCCGCUGCUGCCGCGCCGCUGGAGCACAAUUUCUGUUCUCGUCCUGAAGCAAAGUUCUUAACCCGAGGUACUAUUUCUGGGUUAGCGGAGUCUGCAACCUGAAGCAUAUGUAACCUGAAGCGUCUAUAACCCGAGGUACCACUGUACUUUGAAAGUCUUGCUGCUGCUUCCCUCUAGCCCAGGGUUUCCCCGACUGUGGUGCAUGAACCGCCAGUGGUCCACAAGCUUAAUUCUGGUGGUCUGCGGUGUGUCUGUGGAUUUGUGGUUGAACAAAGAAGACUGUACAUCCACCACAUCAAAUAUUCAUAUUGGUUUUUAAUUGCAUUUAAUUGCUUCUUUUAUUACUUACGUUGCACUUCCUUGUAUUACAGUUUGAAUUCCAUGUACAUACAGUUUCCGAGCGUCUUGGAAACUGAACAUUUCGGAACCUGAAUGCCAAAAACCUGGAAGUAAUUCCUUCCAUUUUUGAAUGCUUUUUGGAAGUCAAAUGGCUUCCGAUGUGCUUUUUUUUCCAAUUUCCCCCAUUGAGUUUGCCAACUGCCCUUUGCACCGUGGUUGUCAAAUGUUUUGGAAGUCGAACGGUCUUCCAGAAUGGAUUACAUUCGACAGCUGAGGUUCCACUGUACUAGAUCUAAGAAAUAAAAGAUUCAGUAAAACUGAAGUUGCUCCAACAGGCAGAAAAACCAUGAAGAGGUGCAUCAAAACCCUCAGCAAUUUUCAAAUGGUUUGGGGGGGGGGUGCGAGGAGUUUGGGCACCCUCUGCUCCAGCCUAAUUUCAAAACGUCAUGGCACUUGGUACUGGAAAUCAAUCUCCACCCCUCCUCCACCAGGAGCUCAAGUUGGCAUCUUUGCUGCCCCCUAUUUUAUCUUCAAAACAACCCUGUGAGGUAAGUUAAGCCAAGAGACAGCGACUGACCCAAAGUUACCCAGUGAUCUUCAUGGCUGAGUGGAGAUUUGAACCCAGGUCUCCGUGCUCUUAGUCCAACAAGUGAAACACUGCACCAUUUCAACGGUGCUUCCAGACAAUUUGUUUAUUGAGCAUUCAUCCUGAUUUGUUUGCAGGGAAGUUACACCCUUGUGCAAAUUAAUUGAAACAAAGCAUGCUUUCUAUCUUACUCGUAAUCCUGUACUCAAAACAAACACGAAAAGUCAGUUGAUCCUUAUGGUGUCGGAAGCCUGCAGCCAAUAGAAGGAAUGAUGCGCUCGCCACAAUACAGUGGUGCCUUGCAAGACGAAAUUAAUCCGUUCCCCGAGUGCCUUCGUCUAGCGGUUUUUUCGUCUUGCGAAGCAACCCGCUUAGCGGCUUAGCGCUAUUAGCGGUUUAGCGGCUAUUAAAGGCUUAGCGGCUUAGCUGCUAAAAGGCUAUUAGCAGCUUAGCGGCUUAGAAAAAGGGGGGGGGAGCGAAAAAAAAUCUCAAGACUCGCAAGACAUUUUCGUCUUGCGAAGCAAGCCCAUAGGGAAAUUCGUCCUGCGAAGCGCAUUGAAAACGGAAAACCCUUUCGUCUAGCGGGUUUUCCGUCUUGCGAGGCAUUCGUCUUGUGGGGCACCACUGUAUAUUGAGGUUCUACGAAAGAGAGUUAUUCCAGAGCUGGAAAAGAGGUGUCCUGAUAGUACUGGGAUAUUGCAGCAGGAUCUAGCUCCCUGUCACAUCUAAAGUGGUGAAAGCCCCCCCCCAUAUACAAUGGGGCCAGUUCCCCUCUCUUCCUCCGAAAGUCCAACACCAUCUCCUUUGUCUUGCUGAUAUUUGGUGCAAGUUGUUCUCUAGGCACCAUGUGGAGACUUUUUGAACCUCCUCCCUUUACGCUGAUUCAUCUCUACUUGUAAUUAGACCCUUUAUGGUGGCAUCAUCUGCAAACUUAAUUGUUGCAGUGGAUGGAUCAGAUGAAAUACAGUCAUAUGUAUACAACAAAUACAGGUAGGGACUCAGCAUGCAUUCCUGUGUUACACAAGGUUACACUUGCCCACACCCUGAGUAAGCACAGCACAUCCCUCACUCAUCUGGGAUGGAUUUAGGGAUUCUGAAAGAGGCACCAUGAUUCUGCAACAAGGUCUCAGCACUUUUCUGGUCCAGAAGUCCUGGCUGCGUUGACUUCUGUCCCUCCCACCACCAAAUCCAUCUUAAGCCGACCGAGUGCCAGAGCUACACAGGGGGGAAAGUAUGAUUCCCUACCCACCAACAGUGGUAGGAGCCGGUCGUUAACUGGCAAGUGAAGAGUGAUUUUCCAUCAAUCAAGAAGCCUCUCAUCUAAUUAAGUAUCGGUCUUCCCAUCCUUUGAUUAAAGAUGAUCCUGGAAAUAAUUCUUCCCACCUCCCUUAGCUCUGAUGAAACUGUUAAUUAGGGUGGUUUUUUAAUUUUUUUUAAGGCAAAUGCUGGCAGAUGGCCCUGUCAUUUAAGAAAACUGGUUCAAGACCUGCCACGCUAGGGGUUAAUAUCUCAAAAGACAGGGUUGGAGGUGUGUGUUAAAUGUAUGCUGUGCAUACACAUCCCUCUUUGCUGGACGUGUUGGAUACAACUCUAAAUGGGAAUUGGGAGUCCAUGGGUUCUCCAUCUGUGCUGAAGGGCAUUAUGGCGAUAUCUAUCCAGCAGGCAGAGUCUGAUAAUGGACCGCUAUGGUUUGGUCUGCAUGGUUAAAAGCUGCCAAUAGGUCUAUCUUCUAUGGCUCUGAUCCUUCUGACACAGUGACGUAGCAUGGGGUGGUUGCUCCAGACACAAAAUUGCUAGGGGUGCAAAAUUUCUACACCCAGUGCUGCCUCAAUACGGCUCUUCACUUCCAUCACUGGGCUCCGUUGAAAACGGCUUCUCCAUGCGAACCAGGAAGCGACCUCUCCAGACCCGGAAGUGACCUCUCCAGACGACGGAACCGCUCUUCUUUUCUUAUCUCUGCGGCUGCGAUCUCCUGCGUGGCACAGAUGCCAUUAGGGCUAGGCAGUUGAAUGUGAAUGUGUACUCUCCUUGGGCACUGGCAACCCGCGCUACGCCACUGUUCUGACAAGCCGUUCAUUCCACCCACCAUGAAUCCUGUGGUCCUGAAUCCCAUAGGCUGGAAGUUUGCCUUCGCCUCGCCAUUCACCUGUUGCCCUGAGAUCAAUUGAUCUCACACACAAACAAACAAAUCCCGCCGCAGCCAACCAAAGACAAUCAACAUACGCCCUCGGCCACCCCAAACUCUCUCACCACCAAGGAAAUAUAACAAGUGAGUAGAAACAGAACCUCUCCAAGUGACGCUGGCACAAAACCCCCACAAAUACACUAAGUAAAAGAACAUAAGCUUUACUACCACCACCCCCUCUCCCGUCUCCCCCACUUUUUUCUUCCCAACCCUAUACAGUGGUACCUCGGGUUAAGUACUUAAUUCGUUCUGGAGGUCCGUUCUUAACCUGAAACUGUUCUUAACCUGAAGCACCACUUUAGCUAAUGGGGCCUCCUGCUGCUGCCGCGCCGCCAGAGCACGAUUUCUGUUCUUAUCCUGAAGCAAAGUUCUUAACCUGAAGCACUAGUUCUGGGUUAGCGGAGUCUGUAACCUGAAGCGUAUGUAACCUGAAGUGUAUGUAACCCAAGGUACCACUGUACUGAAUAUAACACCAAUGUCUCAUAACAAAUGUAACUGACCUGUAGAAAACGCAACCUGAAGAAAGAGAUGAUGCAUGUGCUUUUGUAAAUGAGGAAAAUCAUAUAUAUAUAUAUAUAUAUAUAUAUAUAUAUAUAUAUAUAUAUACACACACACACACACACACACACACACAUAUACACACACACACACACACACACACACACACACGGGGACAGGGGUGGCGCUGUGGGUUAAACCACAGAGCCUAGGACUUGCUGAUCAGAAGGUCGGCGGUUCGAAUCCCCGUGACAGGGUGGGCUCCCGUUGCUCGGUCCCUGCUCCUGCCAACCUAGCAGUUCCAAAGCACGUCAAAGUGCAAGUAGAUAAAUAGGUACCGCUCCGGCGGGAAGGUAAACGGCGUUUCCGUGCGCUGCUCUGAUUCGCCAGAAGCGGCUUAGUCAUGCUGGCCACAUAACCCGGAAGCUGUAGGCCAGCUCCCUUGGCCAAUAAAGCGAGAUGAGCACUGCAACCCCAGAGUUGGCCACGACUGGACCUAAUGGUCAGGGGUCCCUUUACCUUUACCUUAUAUAUAAACAAGCUGUUCUUCACUCUGUCGGUUCCAUGCCAGAAGUUAUAAACCACAACCAUGUCCCUCCAGCUCCCCUUCCUCCUCACAUAUCUUCCUUACAAGCUAACCCCCCCCCCCCCGCAAGUACCCCACUUGCUUCAGACAAGUCUUCCAUUGUAAGGAUAGUUAUCAAUACCUUGAUGAUGUUACUUUCUCUUUUCAGGGACUUGGCUAUGUGCCGGUGGGCUAAACGGAACCAUAAACUCUAUUCUAAAUUGGGGGAGGGGGGAGCAACAGAUAGUCAGGCAAUCUCCCUCAAUAAUAUUAUUGCCUUAACCUCGUCGCCGUUGGGAGAGUGGCUGAAAUAAUGUACAGUGGUACCUCGGGUUAAGUACUUAAUUCGUUCCGGAGGUCCGUUCUUAACCUGAAACUGUUCUUAACCUGAAGCACCACUUUAACUAAUGGGGCCUCCUGCUGCCGCCGCGCCGCCGGAGCAUGAUUUCUGUUCUCAUCCUGAAGCAAAGUUCUUAACCUGAAGCACUAUUUCUGGGUUAGCGGAGUCUGUAACCUGAAGCGUAUGUAACCCGAGGUACCACUGUACGUGGUUGCACUCUGGUGGCAAGGAAGCCCUUCUUUCAAGGCCCAGUAUUAUUAAAUGAGUUUUUAUUAAAUGUCAAAACUAGGUUUGCCCACUACCAAGUUCAGUACCGUAUCUGAGAGACAAGGCUGCCAGACUCGGCCACCCCCACCCCCAUCCCUUACUCUUUUUUUGGGUGGCUGAUCUCCAGCUCCUAAUGCAUCAAACGAGAAGGACCAAGGCUGAAGCCCUUCAUCAGCCAAAACCGAAUCAAAGGGUCUGCAUGGAACUUGUGCUCCAAGAAGCUAGGAGGCAGGCACCCAGCAACGAGGCUGCUUUCUGAUGUAACGGCCAGUUCCCUGUUUUGUUUUGGUGUUUUUUUUCUAGCUCCAAAGCUGCUUCCCCUGUAGGGUGGCUGGCUCAUGCCUUUGGCCGGCUUACCCCCACCUCCUGCCGGCGUUCCAGACCUCUGACAGUGGAAGAAAAGGGUCGGCUUGGGGUUCCCGCUGUCUAAGUCUCCAUAACUCGAUGCAGCUCACACAGAGACGCCUGCUGAUGGGCUGGAAAAAUGUGUAUCGAUCGGUUGGACUUUGCAGACGGGUUUGAUCAAGGAAAAGAGCGUGCAAGUUUUGUGUGUGUGUGUGUGUGUGUGUGUGUGUGUGCUUGUAUCGGUGCGUGUGCAUGCAGUAUGCCUCAUCCCUACCCCCCACGCUGCGGACAGCACAGGGAGUUGGCCUGCCUUGCCUCCUCCUAAGCACUCUAAGAAAGCAAGCAUCUCUUUAAUGGAAUCCUGUACCAGGAGGGUCUGCGACAAAGUUUUGCAGUGUAUUUCCCGCCCCCAAGAAUGCUUUUACUCAGGGAUCCGGCCAACCAGCCUGGAAUUGGAGUCUGGUAGGGCCGUUCCGGCCCGGGGAAGGGAACAGCGGGGUGGGCGUGGUUAAGGAAAGGGAAAAUAUGGCCCUCUUGCAGGCUUCCAAUCCCAAACAUGAGCAUUUUAUGUAUAGCAAGGGAAAUGGGGUAGCUUUGGGGAGCAGGAAAGGGGAAAGCAUUCUCUCCCUGUUCAUUCCUCCUGCAACAUUCCCAUAUAGCACAGCUGGGGGUAUAUUUGUGUGUGUGUAUGAACAGUGUGUAUGGGACGCGGGUGGCGCUGUGGGUUAAACCACAGAGCCUAGGACUUGCCGAUCAGAAGGUUGGUGGUUCGAAUCCCCGCGACAGGGUGAGCUCCCGUUGCUCGGUCCCUGCUCCUGCCAACCUAGCAGUUCGAAAGCACGUCCAAGUGCAAGUAGAUAAAUAGGUACCGCUCCAGCGGGAAGGUAAACGGUGUUUUCGUGCGCUGCUCUGGUUCGCCAGAAGCGGCUUAGUCAUGCCGGCCACAUAACCCGGAAGCUGUACGCUGGCUCCCUCGGCCAAUAAAGCGAGAUGAGCGCCGCAACCCCAGAGUCGGUCACAACUGGACCUAAUCGUCAGGGGUCCUUUUACCUUUAUGAACAGUUAUGAAAUCAUUGAGUUGGAAGGGACCCGGUGCAGGGAGCUGGACUAGAUUACGUUCAAUGAUUUUAUGAUUCUAACAAAAGCGCUCUCUGUUCACGGAGGCAACAGGCUUCUCUGGACAUGGCUGUCACUUUAUACCAGGUGUUGGCGGAAACUUUGGCCCUCCAGAUGUUGCCCAACCACAGCUCCUGACGUCCCUGGCCAUUGGCCGUGCUUGCAAGGGCUGGUGGGAGUUGUAGUUCAGUGGCAUCUGUAAUGUGCAAGGUUCCUAAGCUCCUGCUUUGCGCUUUUCCAGGCAUGUGAUCUCAAACGAGUUUUCAAGUGCCAAGAGACCUGCGGAGAAAAAGUUUCUGUAUCAUGUUUAUCUUGCCUGUGGCUGGAUAAUAGAUCAUCUUACCCUGAUUAUCUACAUCUCGAAAUCAAUCUCUGCCCAACUCCCAAGCCGAUCUGUCAUUCCUGACGGGCCACUUUUGUCCAGUCACUGUGCUUCCUCCACUGGCAUCAAUUUAUCUCAAAGAGCAAAUUUGUUCUCUUUAUUUGCAUUAGAUGUCCAGUCCGUGCCUGUUUUUCCCACUUCAAGCUUCUGUCCUGUCCACCCUCCCGAAAGCCAACCAGUUUGGCAUGCAGACCCCUUCCGUUACAAAUCAAUACCCUCCAACAUUUCUCUGAUGAAAACAGGGACAGCCUAUUCCACAACAACAACAACAACAACAACAACAACUUUAUUUAAUAAUUAUACCUCACCCAUCUGACUGGGUUGCCCCAGCCACUCUUAGUGGCUUCCAAUAUACAGUGGUACCUCGGGUUACAUAUGCUUCAGGUUACAGACUCCGCUAACCUGGAAAUAGUACCUCAGGUUAAGAACUUUGCUUCAGGAUGAGAACAGAAAUCGUGUUUAACAUUAUUAUUAUUUUUUUUAAAAAACCUUCCCCAUACAGGGCUGCCUUCAGAUGGUUCAGGAGUCAGAUAACUGCCAGGGGUCAGCAAACUUUUUCAGCAGGGGGCCGGUCGACUGUCCCUCAGACCUUGUGGGGGGGCCGGACUAUAUUUUGAAAGAAGAAGAAAAAAGAACAAAUUCCUAUCCCUAUGCCCCACAAAUAACCCAGAGAUGCAUUUUAAAUAAAAGGACACAUUCUACUCAUGUAAAAACACGCUGAUUCCCAGACCGUCCAUGGGCCGGAUUUAGAAGGUGAUUGGGUCGGAUCCGGCCCCCAGGCCUUAAUUUGCCUACCCAUGGAUAACUCCAUACACUCCAACAUCUCUCUAAUGAAAAUAGGGACAUUCUACCAUAUCCUCCAACAUUUCUCUGAUGAAAAUAGGGAUGUCCUAAGUAAAUGCGGGACAUUCUGGGAUCAAAUCAGAAACCAGGGCAGCUUCCGUAAAACUGGGGCUGUCCCUGGAAAAUACGGAGACUUGGAGGGUCUGCAAAUCUGCAAUGGUGGCCCAAUCCCAGAAGGCAACAUACUGAGGGAUUCAUGAAACAUGUUUUGCUAGAUAGGCACACGAUAGGAGCUGAAGCUCAGAGUUUUCCUGUGAGUUUGCUAGAGAGGGACAUCCUCUUUUUAUGUCACUUUCCACCAAGCCAGAAAUGUGAAAACAUCUGCUCCAAUGCUCAGACACCAUGUUAGCCUAGAGACUAAAGUACAUCUUUGCAACCAAAUUGCCAUUUUAAGCCUGCCUGAACAAAGCUGCUGUAUCUGUUACUCAUCAGCAAGUAUUCUGAGUGAGUAAAUGUUAUUUUUACCUCCUGCAAGAUCGUUUGUGUGAUUAUCCUUUUAAGGGAGAGAAAAGUCCAGGAGAAUCCAGUCUGCCUUAAAGCACCCUGGAUUUUGUUGUUUAGUCGUGUCCAACUCUUCGUGACCCCAUGGACCAGAGCACGCCAGGCACUCCUGUCUUCCACUACCUCCCAAAGUUUGGUCAAACUCAUGUUUGUAGCUUCGAGAACACUGUCCAACCAUCUUGUCCUCUGUCGUCUCCUUCUCCUUGUGCCCUCAAUCUUUCCCAACAUCAGGGUCUUUUCCAGGGAGACUUCUCUUCUUAUGAGGUGGCCAAAAUAUUGGAACCUCAGCUUCAGGAUCUGGAAUUAUAGUGGUACCUCGGGUUAAGAACUUAAUUCUUUCUGGAGGUCUGUUCUUAACCUGAAACUGUUCUUAACCUGAGGUACCACUUUAGCUAAUGGGGCCUCCUGCUGCCACUGCGCCACCGCCGCACGAUUUCUGUUCUCAUCCUGAAGCAAAGUUCUUAACCUGAGGUACUAUUUCUGGGUUAGCGGAGUCUGUAACCUGAAGCAUCUGUAACCCGAGGUACCACUGUACUUAAACUAAAAGGCUAAAAGGAGCCUAGCUAAGCUUCCCUUUUAAGCUGCAAAAGGAUGGUACCAUGCUGAACUCAAAAAACACACGGAAGGAAGGAUAAUACCUAAUAAAUACAUUCCCUACUAGCAACUAUUCACAUCCCAACAUUUUGAACCCAAACAUGAAAUUGGGGGGCCUGUUUCUUAAUGAUUCCCCAUAUAUUCGCAUGGUGGUAGUGCUCCUGUUGUGCCCUACUUUGGAUCAGGCCAUGACCCACGACUGGAUCCUGACCCAGCAGUUGAAGACCACUGGAUUAAGCAGAGAGCUCUAAGUUAGGUCCCUCAGAGUUGGCGCUAAACCAGGGGUCAGCAAACUUCUUCAGCAGGGGGCCGGUCCACUGUCCCUCAGACCCUGUGGGGGGCCGGACUAUAUUUUGAAAGAAAAUAAUAAUAAUGGACGAAUUCCUAUGCCCCACAAAUAACCCAGAGAUGCAUUUAAAAUUAAAAGCACACAUUCUACUCAUGUAAAAAAACCAGGCAGGCCCCACAAAUAACCCAGAGAUGGAUUUUAAAUAAAAGGACACAUUCUAAUUAUGUAAAAACACGCUGAUUUCCGGGCCGUCCAUGGGCCAGAUUUAGAAGGCGAUUGGGCAGGAUCCAGCCCCCGGGCCUUAGUUUGCCUACCCAUGCACUAAACCCUCCCCUCCAGCACACGAAAGCAUAUUUUUUCAGUGCAGAAAAGCUGAGCACACCAGCUUAUGGAAGAGAUUGGAUACCUCCUUGUAUCACCCAAGACAUCGGUGGUGACAGGGAAUGCUUUGUGCGGGACAUUUGGGUGUUCGGAGCCAACCUGGAGCCUGGGGCGCUGUCAGUUUAGGCGCCCGGCGGCUGCGAAGAUUCCCCCAACCGUAGCUGACAGCAUCAUCUUGGGACACAAGAGCGUCUUGUCUCCACGACACAGCAGCGUGGCGUCUGCUGCAUCCGAUCAGCGUUAAAAGCCGCAGAGAGUUCCGGGAUGGGUGAUCUGGGCUGGCAGAGAUUAAAGGAAGCUCCAGUGAUGCACAAAUACAGGAGGCUGUGGAUACCUGGAGGAGGAGGAGGAGGAGGAGGAGGAGGAGGAGGAGGAGGAAGAAGAAGAAGAAGAAGAAGAAGAAGAAAGGGCAGCCAAUGUCGACGAGAGGCAGCUUUGACCACACCUCUGCCAUUGUGUAAUCUUUAGGGUUGCGUGGUGAGUUCCUGACCCACCCCCCCAGGUGGAAAUAAUGACACAUGACACAAUUUUUAAGGUUAAUGGGCUAAAAAAGGCCAGAACUUCAUUGGUUACAGGUGAAGAACAGUAUUGGCUUAGGCCUUGGUCCUAAACAACUAUAUCCAACUCCAGCCCGUCUGCUUGAAGUCUGGGAAGGGUUAACCACCAGUAGGGGGAGUCCUGCUGAUGCACAUCAACUAGGAACUCCUCCGGGGUCACCGCUAGGGGGGCGUGCCUUGGGCUCUAACCUCCUUAGGCUUCAGACAGGGCCACGCCCCCUGAAUCCAUUAACGGACUACCCUUCAAUAUGUGGGGCAGGUGAUGGCGCUACCUCCCCUCUUCCAUCUACAGAACUAUACCAAUGCCUAACUGCUAAUACCCAGAAAGUUGUGACGAGUUGCUACGAGGUAGGUGAAAACCAAGUGGCUGGUGCCAAUUUGCCAAGUGGAAAAAUUCCUACCAGACCCCUCAACGGCGACCAACCAAGGUCCAUAGCAAGGUCAAGGAACGAAAACCUAAUAGGGCGGGAGGGUGGGGGAAAACAGGAACAGCUGGCUGGCGGCAAAGAGGGAGAUCCCUGGCCGCAUCCUGCCUUAAAUAGGGCAGGCCACGUCCCCUGAGCCAGCCGAUUGGCCGGCCUGGGAAUGACGUGGCUGGGAAUCCCCCCCCCCAAUUGCUCAGGGCUGGCUCCGCCCACUGCACACGUGGAGGGGCCAUGAAGCCCGCAACCCCACCUCCUCCUUAGGCGGAAGUGGCUUUGCGACCUGAUUUGCUUUAGCACCCAUUGGUAUUAAGAAGGUGGUUUUGCACUAGGAUGGGCUGGCCAAGCUCAGGAACUAAUUUUGGGUGCUGGGACUUCAGCACGAUCAAGUAACCUCCUUUGAUCCCCACCAAGUGACCACAGCCUUUUUUUAACCAGGAGGUGCAUUUCAUAACACACAUCUGGUAUUAGAGUGCAUUCUUGCUGGCAUCCGUCCGUCCUCAAGAGCUCCGGGGGCGAAGUCAAACUGCUGUAUUAGCAGCACUGAACCGACUUCCCCUGGGUGUGAGCCUAGGCAGUGUGUCUGGAGAUUCUGGGCUGCCCAGACGACAAGACCCCCUCUUGACCCCGGUGAUGUGGUCCAAACGAAAGCAGAGCAAUAUGUUUGGCACCAGCGUGGCUGCAGGAAUUGGUGCGCGACUGGACUUAACUGUCAGGGGUCCUUUACCUUUUACCUUUAAGUAAAAGCAGAAUGAAAUCAGAAACCGGGAUGGCUUCUGUAAACCUGGGAAUGUCCCUGGAAAAUAGGGACACUUGGAAGGUCUGCAUUAUUAUUAUUUACUGAAUUUAUAUACCACCAAAACCUGGAGGUCUCAGGGUGGUUCACAGAAUAAAAUCUAGAUAUAAAACCACAAAAUACAUAAUAAAAAUAAAAACAACAACCCAAUAGCCCCCCCCCAACAAAACACAUUUUAAAAGGGCGUAGGAUGCAAAUCGGAUCAACCAUAGGCCUAAAGGUGUAUAAUGAAGGCUCCAGGUUAACUUUCCUGGGGAGAGCAUUCCACAGACGGGGAGCCAGUGCAGAGAAGGCCCCGUUUUCGUGUUGCCACCCUCCAGACCUCUUCAGGAGGAGACACAAAGAAGGGCCUCAGAAGAUGAUCUCAGGGUCCGGGCAGGUUCAUAUUAAAGAGGCGGUCCUUGAGGUAUUGCAGUCCUGAGCAUUUAUCAGGGUUCCAGGACACAACCCAGACAGGCAAAAUUGCUCAUGGUGGACAGAACAGGUCUGGAGACGGGUUGGGAGAGGGCAUUUGCAGGUGAAGAAGAGGAGGUGAAGCCUGGGCAGAAUCCUAAGAGCCAGACAGAGAGGCUUGGAGGUUGCCUUUGGCCUCCAAGCCAGAGGUUUCGCCUCCCUAACCUACGCCAUUGGUCUCUGGCAGUGGCAUAGCGUGGGUUGUCAGCACCCGGGGCAAGGCAAGUAAUUUGCACCCCCUAACCCGUGGAUUUGCACCCCCUAACCCUAACCCCCAGAUGUUGCGCCCAGUGCGGCCGGCCCCCCCUGCACCCCCCACGCUACGCCACUGGUCUCUGGAAAUCCUUCCCUGUGAAGACAUCUUUCCAUCUUAUACCUACUGGUUAAGGUACACUGUGGUCAGCACGGCACAAGUGUGUAAGUGGAGGUGGGGGGUUACUUUUGAUCCCUUCUGACGUUCUGGUGCAACAAGAGAGGCUUGUCAGAGCCGCUGCUGCAAGCGGGAAAGAUUAAAUUAUCGAACAACUAAAAACUCGAGUCUUCUUCUUUGCCUCAUUAAUUUCCCGGGAACUAUUAGCUGUCAGCGGCCAGUGGACCUUACAUUCAAAUUACGGAGCCUGAAUUGCUAAUUUCUCAUAAUCCAUCAGCGUGCUGAUGUCCCCGGCUAAUAUUAGCAGCGCUGGUUUCCCCCCGUACGGCGGGGGGGUGGGGGUGGCAAUGGCUUCCUGGCCUAAAACAGGAAAGACUGCUCUGAGGCAAGAGAAAGAUCGCCCUACAAAAUCAGGAAUUGGGGUGCAAGCUUCAUUUACUGGGGUUCCAUGGGUGUGGUGGUAACAUGGCACCAGAGAAGUCCUGCCCCAUGGGAUUUCGCUGCCCGAGAUGGCUGCUCCAGUCCGCCUCAAGGGAGGGCCAGCCCUGUGUUCAGGAUCUGCUUUAUGUUGCCAGAGCCUCUAAGCAAGGCAUGGGGAACCUGUGACCCUUCAGAUAUUGCUGGACUCCAGCUCCCAUCAGCCCCAGCCAGCAUUGCCAAUGGUUAGGGACAGGGAUGGAUGAAUAUGUCAGUUUCCGUUUCUCUCAUUGUUCCAGUCCUAAAUUCAGUUCUUCACAUUUCAACAUUAUUAUUAUUAUUAUUAUUAUUAUUAUUAUUAUUAUUAGGGGGGGGAAUCCUGAUGAAAAUUCAUUGGUGGUUUUAUGUGAGUUGCUUUGAAUAUACAGUGGUACCUCGGGUUAAGUACUUAAUUCGUUCCGGAGGUCCGUUCUUAACCUGAAACUGUUCUUAACCUGAAGCACCACAUUAGCUAAUGGGGCUUCCUGCUGCCAGAGCACAGUUUCUGUUCUCAUCCUGAAGCAAAGUUCUUAACCCGAGGUACUAUUUCUGGGUUAGUGGAGUCUGUAAAUCUGGCUGUUGAAUCCUAUUUCAAUACUGGCAAUGUAACUUGAAGCGUAUGUAACCCACUGUACACAUUUUGUAUGCAAUUUCCCCUAAUAUACCCAUUUUUCUUUGUUAUUUUAACUACUACUACUACUACUACUUAUUAUUUAUACUCCGCCCAUCUGGCUGGGUUUUCCCAGACAUUCUGGGCGGCUCCCAACAGAAUAUUAAAAACACAAUUAAACAUCAAACAUUUAAAACUUCCCUAAACAGGGCUGCCUUCAGAUGUCUUCCAAAAGUCAGAUAGUUGUUUAUUUCCUUGACAUCUGAUAGGAGGGCGUUCCACAGGGCGGGCGCCACUACCGAGAAGGCCUCUCUGCUUGGUUCCCUGUAACCCAACUUCUCGCAAUGCGGGAACCGCCAGAAGGCCCUUGGAGCUGGACCUCAGUGUCCGGGCUGAACGAUGGGGGUGGAGACGCUCCUUCAGGUAUACUGAAUAUAUAUACUAAUAUAUAUGCAUUUAUUGCAUUUCCCACGCAUACAGUAUGCAUUUUCAUGCUUUGGGAGUAAAUCUGGAGAAUUGUGAAUUUCAAAAGACAGCUGAGAGUCAGUUCGCUUAUUGUUUCUGAAAGUGCAUAUCAGAUAAGUGCACUUUUAAAUAUGAACUAAGUUAAAUUUAUUUCCCCAACCCCCAUUAUUAGAGAUAAUGGUAGCAAUACUCUGGCAACAUCUGACAAGUAGCAGGAUUUCCUGCCCCUGGUCUAAGCAUUGAGUAACAGCCUGCAACUGAGAGUAUAUGAGCUUGUACGCAGUAUUAGAGAGAGGCAACAGUAGUGGCUUUUGCCUUAGCAGCUGUGCUUUAAUUAAAACAACUGCAGAAAACUCAGAAAGAGACAAAAAGAGUGUCACAGCUGCUUAACUAAACACCAAUCUCAAAAGAUCCACAAAGACCAAAAUAUCCUUCCUUGUCAAGCUCUGCGGUGAGUAACAGUUGAACCACACGCUGCAUCGCAAGGGAAGGAGGCAUGGCUGGAUGGAUGUUGAAGUGAGAGCUACCAAACAAAUCCAAGCAAAAAAUCUAAGGAUCUGGUUUUAUUUUUAGACCAUUUCCUGAUGUGUUUCAAGAAUGCGGCUCUUUUUCAAUUACCCCCAAAUAUGCAUGCAAAUGGGUAAUAUAUUGUGCAGACUAGACAAUAUGAAACCAAGAUGUUCAUAUUUUUAUUAUUAUUAAAAUAUUUGUUGUUGUUUAGUCGUUUAGUCGUGUCCGACUCUUCAUGACCCCAUGGACCAGAGCACGCCAGGCAUUCCUGUCUUCCGCUGUCUCCUGCAGUUUGGUCAAACUCAUGCUGGUAGCUUCGAAAACACUGUCCAAACAUCUUGUCCUCUGUCGUCCCUUUCUCCUUGUGCCCUCAAUUUUUCCAACAUCAGGGUCUUUUCCAGGGAGUCUUCUCUUCUCGUGAGGUGGCCAAAGUAUCGGAGCCUCAGCUUCAGGACCUGUCCUUCCAGUGAGCACUCAGGGCUGAUUUCCUUAAGAAUGGAUAGGUUUGGUCUCUUCUUGCAGUCCAUAGGACUCUCAAGAGCACCAUAAUUCAAAAGCAUCAAUUCUUUGGCGACCAGCCUUCUUUAUGGUCCAGCUCUCACUUCCAUACAUUACUACUGGGAAAACAAUAUACCCCACUUUUAACCACAUCUGGGUAUCAAAUUGGCUUUAAAAAGAAACAAACAUGCAAUAUGCAAAAUGUUAAACCUACAUUGAAACACUGCUGAAUGAAACAUUAGAAUGUUCAUGGUGCAAAGUCCUUCUGCAAGAAAAAACAUUGGCCUGGUAUUUGGAACUUAGCAGGGAUGGUGCCUGGUGGAUUUCUAAUGGGAGGGAGUUGCAUUGAGUUGGACCCUCCACAUUGACACAUGACUCAUACUUCUUGUCCACGGGAGACCACAAACAGUGCAAUUUAUAUCUUUAUAAGUAUCCCCUCUAGGAUAAAGGGGUUUAUUUUAAUAAUUACCCAGUUGAUCUUUUUGCCAUCAGGUUCAACAGGGUCUUCAUGGUAAAUACAAAGUUUCUGCACAGCAGAACUCUUCUCUUUUACAACAAUGCUUUUCCUUGGCAGGAGAUGCCUCAACACAUUUUAUCAUAAAGAAACCAACAUCAGCACACUUUUAGGCAUAACUACCCAGACUGUUAUCUAAACUGUUACGACUAAAGUUUUAAGUAAAGUAAGACUCAGCUGUUGAGAAGUAUGAAUAAAAAUUCACCUUUCCUUUUGCUACACUCUCCAAAAAGAAUUGCGCAUCCUUGGCUGAGAGAUGGAAGAGAAGCCCUGAGUUCAAAUUCUACCAUCUGCCAAGUUCCUGAGAUGAUCUUCAGCAAGCAGUUCUCUCUCACACACCCCAUUAUCUGAGAAAUGUAGAGUGUUGCGCUGACCUACCUUUCAGGGGUCGUUGUAAGGACUGGUAGAGAAUAAUAUGCGAGACAUGCGCUGAACGUUCAAAAAUACGAUAUAUUGGAAUGGCUGACGUUUUCUUUAGCUUGGGUUGUUUCCUCACCUGUUCACCAUCCCACUAUUUCCUUUUGUUGUUCGAAACUUCACAUCUUUUCUGCACUUCUUCUUGACCUUAGACGUGCUGUGCACAAAGACACAUAAAUAAACCAGGAACCAGAAAUAUGUUUGCAGCUUCCCUGUAAAAGGAAAACAAAGGAGUGGGGAGCUGUAUGUGGAAAUGGGUGUGGGUAAAGGUACCCCUGCCCGUACAGGCCAGUCUUGACAGACUCUAGGGUUGUGCGCUCAUCUCACUCUAGAGGCCGGGAGCCAGCGCUGUCCGCAGACACUUCCGGGUCACGUGGCCAGCGUGACAAGCUGCAUCUGGCGAGCCAGCGCAGCACACAGAACGCCGUUUACCUUCCCGCUGGUAAGCGGUCCCUAUUUAUCUACUUGCACCUCGGGCUGCUGUCGAACUGCUAGGUUGGCAGGCGCUGGGACCGAACGACGGGAGCGCCCCCCGCCGCGGGGAUUUGAACCGCCGACCAUGCGAUCGGCAAGUCCUAGGCGCUGAGGUUUUACCCACAGUGCCACCCGCGUCCCUUAUGGGUGUGGGUAGACAAGCACAAAACCAUCCUUCCGCAGCACCACAAAUCCAACUCAAUGGUGUAACGCUGGAAAAUGCCGAUCACUUUUCCUACCUACACUUUCCACAAGGGCUGAAAUUGAUGCUGAAAUCCAGCAUCGCCUGAGCUUUGCAAAUGCGGCUUUCUCCCGAUUGAAGUGCAGAGUGUUUGAGGACGGGGACAUUCGCAGGGAAACCAAAAUGCUUGUUUACAAAGCUAUUGUACUACCAACCUUACUGUAUGCUUGUGAAACGUGGACCACUUAUAAACACCAUCUCCAACUCCUCCCACAUCACUUGGGAGCACAGGCAAACUAAUGCUAGUGUACUAGGAGAAGCAAAGAUCAUCAGUUUCGAAGCGAGGAUCAGCUUUGUUGGACUGGUCAUGUCGUGCGGAUGCCUGAUUAUUGUCUUCCAAAGCAACUACUCUAUUCUGAACCUAAAAAUGGAAAGCGUAAUGCCAGUGGUCAACAAAAGAGGUUUAAAGACUCUCUCGAGGCAAAUCUAAAAAAAUGUAGUAUAAACACCGACAACUGGGAAACACGGGCCUGCGAGCGCUCCAAUUGGAGAUCAGCCUUUACCAAAGGUUUCAUGGGCUUUGAAGAUGCUCAAACUCAGGACAAAAGGAAGAAAUGUGCUAAAAGGAAGGCACACCUAGAAACCUAUGUCCCCACUGUGGAAGGAGGUGUGGAUCCAGAAUUGGCCUCCAUAGUCACUUAUGGACCCACUGUUAAAACCGGGUUUAUGGAAGACAAUCUUACUCGGCCAUGAGUGAUCACCAAAGAAGAAGAAGAAGAAGAAGACUCAGGGACAUUUCUUCGAACAGCCAGGGCUCAUGUCUAGGGCUCCGUCUGCACUAUAUAUUUAAUGCAGCACCAUACCGCUGUAGACAGGCAUGACUUCCCGCAAAGAAUACUGGAAACUUUAGUUUGUAAAAUCGUGAGAUGUUAGGGCACCCCUAUUCCCCUCACAGAGCUAUACUCUCAGACUUUCAUGAGACUUUCCUGAGAAUAAAUACCAGCUGUUAAAGUACUGAGGGAAUUGUAGCUUUGUGCGGAUAAUAAGGUUGCCCUAACAACUCUCAGCAUCCUUAACAAACUACAGUUCCCAGAAUUCCAGAUCCCUAUUUGCAGAUUUACAGAAGCCAUCCCAGUUUUUGGUUUGAUCCCGGAAGGUCCCACUUUUCCUUGGAGAAAUGUUGGAGGGUAUGGAGUUAUGCGACACCCCCCCCCCCAGGCCAAGGAGAUCAUUAACUAGACAACCUUCAGGAUACACUUGAAGGCAGCCCUGUAUAGGGAGGUUUUUUUAAAUGUUUUAUUAUGUUUUUAUAUAUGUUGGAAGCCGCCCAGAGUGGCUGGGGCGACCCAGUCAGAAGGGCGGGGUAUAAAUCAUAAAAUUAUUGUUGUUAUGAUUAUGGAAGAAGACGUCCCUAUUUUUAUCGGACAAACGUUGGAGGGUAUGGAAUUCUUUGGGGAAAGCCAUGACAGUUUAAAGUGGCAUAAUAGUGCAAAAGAGGCCUUAUACCACUUUAACAGUCAUGGCCUCCCACCAGGAAUCCUGGGAACUGCCAUUUGCUAAGGGUUCUGGGAAAUGUAGCUCUGUGAGGGGACGUCUCCUAACAACUCUCACCACCUUUGACAAAUGGCACUUCCCAGGAUUCUUUGGGAGAAGCCAUGACAGAGUGAUAUGAGAGUGCUUUCAGUGUAGGGUGUGAACGUGCUUUAAGUAACUAUAGGUAACCCACCCCACCAAAGCUUAGCUGUCAACUUACAGAUUUGAAAAUAAGGGACCAGCAGCCUCGAAAAUAAGGGAUCAGCAGCCAAAAUAAGGGAUUUUAGUCAACCAGCUGAAAUGAGAAGUUAAAAGGGACCAGAUAAUUUGGGAGAGCAGCGCUGGUUUUUAGCCCUUCGUUUCCAGAGGUUGCUGCUCAAGACACCAGCUGAUGAAACACUGCAAUUAAAUAACUACAAGCAGGAACCACUUUUUGCACAAAACGAAGUCCAAGCUACAAAGAUGCUGCUGCAGUUCUGUAUCUUUUCUCUCGUGCUCCAUCUGCAGCUCUCAGUUCCAUCAGGCAGGGCAGGAGGAAGGGGGGGGGAAUAGUGCCUGAAGUAAACCUGCGGAUCAGACCAUCUAUGCUAAUCUACCACUACAAAUCUAUGGGAGAAGCGCUUGCGGUCCUUCCUGCGCUUUCCCCCUCUAUGGUUAGCCCUUGGAACACCUGCCCGCGCCUCCGCCUCCGCCUCCUCCUCCUCUCCCUGAACUGCUUUCUCUAUGGUUGCCCUCGCUCUCCUCUCAAGACUGCCCAUCUCAUCUGGGUCGUUCGGCAGCGCAGCCGCAGUACGGCCUAGCGGGAGCGGCGGCGGCGAUGGGCAGAGGGGAGGCCCCAGUCAGAGACGCUCAGUUUGGCGGCCGCGAGGAGGAUGGUGGCGGGAGGGCCCAAGGCUCCCACCAGUCCUGGCGGGGAGGGGCUCCCGGGGGCCGAGGCUGGUGAGAGGAGGCGGUGGGGUGGGCUGGGCAGCCAAGCAACACAGUUGGAGCCUCCCUCCUCCCUGGCCGGCAGGGAGGGAGGGAGAGGAGCUGCUUCCUUUGAAACCCAGGAAAUUUAAGGGACAUCAUCAAUAAGGGACAGCAGCGGGACACGGCGCCGGGAUAAGGGAGUUUCCCGCCAAAUAAGGGACGGUUGACAGCUAUGCACCAAAGGUUAGGAAGCAGAAACAGGACAAAUGAAGGUUGAGGUCUCUAGUUUUUCAGCAUGCCAGUCCCCUGCACCUCUUAUUUGACAAUUAAACACAGGAAUGCAGUUCAAUGCCCUCUGCCUCAUUUUCCUUUCUCCUUGAUAGCUGCCUUGUCCCCCACCCCUCGCCAAAUCAACUUGUUUGUUUAGUAUGCUCAAGAGUUUCCUAACUAGGAUUAAACCACCGUGGAGAUUUAGACUUCACCUCUUUUCAAAGUCAUCCGAAACACACACACACAACAGCUGGGGUUGCUUUUCUCCUCUCCUAGUGGUGACAUCAAACGCCUGGCCAGAAGAACAGGUCCUUCUGCGCUGAUUCUUCCAGGCGGCUCUAUAGUUUUGUCACCCAGCACAGAUAUUGUGAGUGCAAAAUCCACAAAUAUCAGGCCCAUUCAGAGCAACGUACAGAUGUUUCAGAUGCAUCUCCAGUACACAUGGAAGAGUGUGGCAGGAGAGAAUCAGGGAAUCUUUCUAGAGUAUCACCUUAAUUUUCAUUUCAUUUCACUUUUAACUUGUACACCGCCUUUCUAUAUUACCACACGCAAGGCGGUUUAGAAGCUGAAGAAACCACAAAACAGACAGCACAGAUCACACACAAAAUAACAAUCUGAUCCAAUACAAAAAAAGUCAUGAUAACUUUAAAAUAAACAACUUAUCUCAAACAAAGCAAUAUUCAAUAAUCCAUUAGAGCAUAAUAAUAAACAGUAAAAUUAAAUAUCAGCAAAUAAUAAUUAAACAGUUUACACCUAUCAGUUACGAUAAAGAAUUACUAAACUGUGAUCGGUUACGAGAACGGCGAGUCACAAUGCAUAAAAUACCACAAAACACAUGAAACUCUCGCAGGGGUGGGGAUGAUGGCUAGAGUUCCCAAUAAACUUUUGAGGAAGUCAGGUGCAUUGUAUUUUCAGUAAAUGUAUAUAGUGGUACCUCAGGUUACAUAUGCUUCAGGUUACAGACUCCGCUAACCCAGAAAUAGUGCUUCAGGUUAAGAACUUUGCUUCAGGAUAGGAACAGAAAUCGUGCUCCAGCGGCGCGGCAGCAACAGGAGGCCCCAUUAGCUAAAGUGGUGAUUCAGGUUAAGAACAGUUUUAGGUUAAGAAUGGACCUCCGGAACGAAUUAAGUACUUAACCCAAGGUACCGCUGUAGUGUGGAUUUGCCUGUUGGAAACUGUGGCCUUCCAGAUGCUGAUAGACUUCAACUCCCAUCAGCCCCUGCCAGAGCAGCCAAGAACCUGGGGUGAUGGGAGAUGUAGUCCAACAGCAUUUAGAAGGCCACAGGUUUCUCAUCCCAAGCUUAGGCCAUGGUCGCCCUACAUGAUAACAUGUCAUAACGACUUCCUUCAGAGGCAAAGUCAGAUGCAUAAGGAGCCCUUCUUUUCCCUCCCGCCCGGCUUUCCGUGCCGUUGAAUCUUCCCUUGCCCUUCGGAUGAAAAGGCAUCGAUCUGACCACAUCUAUAACCCCUCGCUUUCCACCCGGCCCGGCCCAGUUUCCUGUGUAAUUAUGCAAAGCAAAUAACUGCCACACGGCUGCUCAUUGAUUUUGUAGCUGAUGCUGUUUGCUUAACCUUUCGAGAGAGAAACUGCUGUUGCGGUGCAUCUUGGAGGCUUUGCUAUUCCCACCACCGCCAGUCUCCCCGCUGCUGACGCGGAAGAAAAUAAAAGUGAAAACCUUCAAGAUUCACUGCCCUUUUUCCGUCUGGAGAGGUCUGAGGGAGACGAGGAGAGCCGGCCCAUCCAUUUGGCGGGGAGUGAAGCAGCCGAAACAGGAUGGGCCACAAGUAGAAAUCAGUCGCUGGCGUGUGUGUCGUUGAUACCAGGAUGCCCAAUUUGAAAUGGGUUUGCAGCAUGACUUGUAGGACUACAUGCCUUCCAACAUUUCUCCAAUGAGACGUGUAACAACAACAAACAACAACAACAACAACAACAACAACAACUUUAUUAUUUAUACCCCAUCCAUCUGGUUGGGUUUCCCCAGCCACUCUGGGAGGCUUAUAUAGCAUAUAUAAAAACAUUAUGGUCCUACUCCAAUAAUAAUAAUAAUAAUAAUAAUAAUAAUAAUAAUAACCCACCCAUCUGGUUAGGUUGCCCCAGCCACUCUGGGUGACUAAAUAGGUCCAAGCCUGGUCUGUGCCUGGAUAGGGAGAUCACCAGCCUCAGAGAUCUAUUUAAGCUACCUUAAUUUCCAUAGAAGAAAAGGUGAUUAUAGUGGUACCUCGGGUUAAGUACUUAAUUUGUUCUGGAGGUCCGUUCUUAACCUGAAACUGUUCUUAACCUGAAGCACCACUUUAGCUAAUGGGGCCUCCUGCUGCCGCUGCGCCACCAGAGCACGAUUUCUGUUCUCAUCCUGAAGCAAAGUUCUUAACCCGAGGUAAUAGUUCUGGGUUAGCAGAGUCUGUAACCUGAAGCGUAUGUAACCCGAGGUACCACUGUAUAUGGAACAAAUGUAACCAAAUAAGAUUUCAAAAUCUUUCCCCGUCACAGUGAACAGAGUUGUUUUUUCCAAAGAGAACACAGGCUUUUUACGAACAAGUUCUAGGCUUCACCAACCCUUCAGUAACACAGUCCAGAGGGAGUGCAAGACUAUUUUAUUUUAUUUUAUUUCAAAAAGAGGGUUCCUUCUCAUUUGGCUAGAAGGCGGUGCUGAUAACGGCAAGGUUGCAGGUUCGAUCCCCGUAUGGGGCAGCUGCAUAUUCCUGCCUUGCAGGGGGCUGGAGUAGAUGAUCCUCAGGGUCCCUUCCAACUCUGCGCUUCUAUGGUUCUCAAAACUGUGGUACCAGCUCCCUCGCCGCAGCCCUCCCCUGCCACCCACCACCACUCACAGCGGCUGGCAAAUGUCUCGUUCAAAUGUCAGAAUCCCGCGUGGUUUUGGCCCCGUCGGGAUUUGCCAGCAAUUGGUCAAAACGGGAGAGAGAGGCUGACUCAUUUAGCCCACAGUCUCAGUGAGGAAUAUUUUUAGGAGCUCAUUAAAAGAGAAAGGAGACUGAAGAAGAAGAAGAAAAAAGAGAGCGAGAUGCUGGUGAGAGGAAGGAAGCCAAAGCCGAGCUAUUAUUUUUCAUUCCAGUGACAGCUCUUAGCAGUGCCACUGGGCCUGUCAGACGUAGCAGUGGCAUAUCUGAGUCUAAUAUGGUCAAGGCCUUUUGUGCACACACGUGUGUGCGAGGGAAGAGGCUGGCACACGCGUGUGGCGGAGGGCAUGCGCACGGAAGCAACACAAUGCGUUCUUGAACAGCCACUGGAAAGCUUGUGGUCAAAGCAAGGUAUCCAGAAAGUGCCAAACUUGGAUAAAGAAAUAUCCCCACUCCCCGCUUAAUGGGUGAAGCAAGCAUAUAAGUAUUUCUACCCUGAGACUGGCAGUACUUGGAAGAGAAACAAAACUUUUAAUAAUAGUGACUUACAGUGGUACCUCUGGUUACGAACGUAAUUCGUUCCCGAGGUCCGUUUUUAACCUGAAACUGUUCUUCACCUGAGGUACCACUUUAGCUAAUGGGGCCUCCCACUGACGCCAUGGCAUGAUUUCUGUUCUCAUCCUGAGGUAAAGUUCUUAACCUGAGGUACUACUUCUGGGUUAGCGGAGUCUGUAACCCGAAGUGUUUGUAACCCGAGGCAGCGGCGUAGCGUGGGUUGUCAGCACCCGGUGCAAGGCAAGUAAUUUGCGCCCCCUAACCCCUAACCUGCCGCCGCUGCCAGCUUCUUCUUGCUGCUGCCUGGGCUGGUCUGGUGUGGUUCUCUCCCGUGCUCAGCGCUGCGCUGGGCGGCCGCUGCACUGUCCCUCCCCCAGAUAGUCCCUCGCUCUCUCUCUGCACCGCACGCCUGGCACCCACCCCCUCCACAGUGGGCGGCGACCCAGCGGCUCGGAUCGGAUUCGCACAGCCAGCACUGCAGUGAGAGAGAGUGAGUGAGCCAGGUAGGGGCAGAGAGCUGCGAGUGCGAGCGCGCCCCCCAGAUGUUGCGCCCGGUGCGGCCGGCACCCCCUGCACCCCCCACGCUAUGCCACUGACCCGAGGUGUUUGUAACCUGAGGUACCACUGUAUUUAGUGCUGCUAGGUGACCAAACCAAAGAAAGGAUAAUUUUUGUCCACCACCUUAAGUCCUUAAAAAAAAGAGAAUUAUCUCAGGUAUAUGAUAGUUCAGCCUAUGCAGAAUUGCCAGAUUUUGAGGUACAGUAGUACCUCGGGUUAAGAACUUCAUUCUGGAGGUCCGUUCUUAACCUGAAACUGUUCUUAACCUGAGGUACCACUUUAGCUAAUGGGGCCUCCCGCUGCCGCCGGGCCCGCCACCGCACAAUUUCUGUUCUCAUCCUGAAGCAAAGUUCUUAACCCAAGGUACUAUUUCUGGGUUAGCAGAGUCCGUAACCUGAAGUGUCUGUAACCUGAAGCGUCUGUAACCCGAGGUACCACUGUAUUGUUAUGUCCAAAUAUCUAAAUGACUUUGUGCAGAAGGUUAUAUUGGGAGUGACCUAUGCAUUCCUGAACUUUUGAGAUGGGCAGUGGUGGGGUUACGCUAAAGCAAAGUACCUCUGACUUACUAUGGUUGCUUUGCAAGCCCUUACUGCCCCAUAUCUUUCUAAUUUCAGCUUUAUUUCCUUGACUGCCUCUUCCAGAUUUGACAAUAGCAGAGUCACUUCAUCUGUGCAAAGGCUCGUUUAUUGCUUGUGUGUGUGGCAUUGUUGCCUUUGCUUUUUUCCUGCCUCUCCUCAGCUUUCCACAAAUAAGCUUGUGUUUUGAUACUUGGACCUCAUUUGGCUUCAUUGGUUUGAAAAGGAACGUCUCGCUAAAACCUUCCCCACAUGUAUGAUUUUGAGCGCUUCCAGACUGUUGCUAUUUUUGCACGAAAUUCAGUCACAUCGCGGCAAAUUCAGGUUGUGCAGUUUGAGUUGAUUGACGGGUCCAGCACAACAAAGCUGGUUCUGCAAAAGAUCAAACUUGGGGGGGGGGUGAGGAAAGUGACAGAAAAACACACUGGGAAGCAUGUGAUAAGACUGGUGGUAGAUGCAACAUCUUCUAACCUCCCCUCAAACAAAUCAGAAUGAAUGCUCAUUAAAUAGGUGCUAUCGUCUAAUCUCCCUGCAGAGAAAUCAAGAUGAAUGUGCAAUGAACAGAUUGUCUGAAAUUGCCCUGCGUGGUUGAAGAUAAUGCAACCUUGUGCUAUAAGGAUAUUUCAGACAGUUUUAUUAAAUUCUGUGUUCACCAGGUUUGGGCCUAUUUCAACCUCCAGACCUAUAUUCUGCUGUCUUUGCUGGUUAUUUCAUCAUAUAGGGAGUGACUGGGUCAUGGGACCUUGGCGUGUACAAUGGAACCUUGGUUUCCAAACAUCUCAGCUGCUGAACGUUUUGGAAGCUGAACGCCGAAAAGCCGGAAGUGAAUGCUUCCGUUUUCGAACGUGCUUCAGAAGUCGAACGGCUUCCGAGGUGCGUGUUUCAAUUUCCCCCAUUGAACUUGCUGACAGCCCUUUGAUCCUCAGUUUCUGAACGUUUCAGAAGUCGAACGGACUUCCAGAACGGAUUACGUUCGAAAACUGAGGUUCCACUGUAAUACAGAGGCCAGUGUACUGCAAAUCCAAGAGAAGCUGGCAGGGAGACAUCAGGGCAGAGAGCCACCAGUAUCUCUGAUAUUAUUCCAACUGCAUCUCCUAACCACUUGUUUCUGAUGUUUGUCUAAUUGUUUAAAAACGUGCCUAAACCGCGUAAUAUUUCAAUAAACUGUAAGUGGUGUUUGAAUCCUCAAUCAGUCUGGUCACCAUCUAAGGUUCUGCUCUGUGUUCCAGUUGCCUUGGAAAGCGAAGAGACAGGGUCUUUUCCACUGUGGCACCACGACUGCAAAAUAACCUCCCAAGGGGGUGCGUUGCCAGCCUCAGUCGCUGCUUGCCUUUUGAUGAGACUGCGAACUUGGCUCUUUGAGCUGAGCCAACACAGGGACGUCUGCGGGAUCGAUCCUAGUUUGAUGUUUUGGCAUGUUCUUUCUUUCCUUUGUGGUAUGGCUGGUCUCUGUCAACCCUGUUUCAGUCUUCUACCAUUGUUUUAUUACGGCUUUAUUAUUGUUUUAAUCCUUUGCAAUCUGCUUCGGGGGUUCGCCGACUGUUGGUAGAAGGCUGUUUCAGUCUUCUACCAUUGUUUUAUUACGGCUUUAUUAUUGUUUUAAUCCUUUGCAAUCUGCCUCGGGGGUUCGCCAAGACAAUGUGUAGAACAUUAAGCAUCUUAAUCAAUCAGUCGAUCAAUCUGCGUUGGGCAGAAAAUCUGAGCCCUGUCUCGUGAAUGUACACGCUAUUCAAAGCGUGCAGCAAAUUACGGGGAUGGAGACAGGGGACGGACAUCGACUCAGGGGAGAGGUCAUGUGGGGGGAGGCUGUCACGUUGAUUUUCAAAUGUACAUAUUGCUUCCAAAACCUGAGAGUGCAAAAAUCUGGAAUUUAAAUUUGAUAUUCCUCAGUGGACUUCCAAUUUGUUGGGUGGAUUUCAUCUUUUAAUGAGUGGCCUUAAAUCCCUCUGUGCGUGUGCGCUCAGAAAGAGCAUGACAGUACUCACGAAAGCCCAAUUAAUUCUGAUUAGCUCUACCACACCCCUUCACUCUUGGGAGGCCUCCGCAGAACACUUAUCAAAGUCCCAAAGCAACCCGGAAGGCUUUUUCCAAAAAUGAAAUUUCCUUCCUUAAAAUGAUGUUCUGUAACAACUAAAGAAGUGGAGCAGAUAGGUCUUUUGAAAUCCUUCUUUGUAAAAGGAGGGGGAGGGCUCUCGUUAAGAUAAAUUAAAUAAGAAUAAUUGUCUGUUCUGCAACAAUUUUUUUUUAUAUAAUUUUUUUUUGGUCCGGGGUGGUGUCUUUAUCUAUUGCUACAGUAAGUAAAACUGCAGGUCAUAAAUGACUAAUUGAUUUCUUACGCGGAUUAAAUUUGAAGCACUUUACACGAGCAAUGGGAGGGAAAAAAGGAGGUCACGGAGGCUAUACUGCGUUGCGAAAGAGACAAAGAAAUUGAUUUGAAAAUCGAUGCUUUGAGAAAUGAUUAAAUGUUCUCCUUGCCAGAAUAGACCUAAAUGAGUCUCUGAGGUUCUCACAAAGAUGAAUUAAUUAGAAGACUCUACAGAUGCCGGUGGGAUGUUGCGUCUCUGCGCUCCGAUUUGUUCUUCUAACCUGCUGCAUUGACGAGGAAGAAGGAGGCAGAUCAGAGGCCUUCGGGAGAUACUGGAGAAAGGGAGAUUCAAUAUGGAGCUGCAAGCAUUUUGAAUAAAUGUGAUGUCUUCCCCCCUUCGUCUUUUUUGGGAAACUGACAUUCCACUUCUGACACCAUUGUUUCCCCUUUGUAAAACAGCUGGAGCAGGAUGAAGAUCUUUUUUCCCCAACAGAGGAGGGUGGUUAUUGGAGCUUUGUAUCAUUAGUUCCAAUCCAGCAUCGGCUGCUCGAUAGUCUUAACAAUAAAAAGGAGAAGAAUGGGAUGCAAGGAGGGGAGGCUGGGAAUUCUGAAUAUUCCUAGCCGAAUUACAGCUGCCACUCUUGAUCCCAUACAAAGCUCUGGAGCAGUGAAAUGGAUAGGAGCGGGUUGCAAGCAGUUUCUGGAGGGGAAAACCCAUACGUUUUUCUUUCUACCCAUCAUUUCACAAACAUUAUUUUAAAAAGAACUUUUAAAAACAAUGGUCAAAACAUGUGAAUGAGUUACAUUUACAGCUGUUAAACCUCAGCUGAUGAAACACAGAGAUCCAUUGAACAAAUCCUAUGUGGAUUUAGAGAGGAAUGGAUAUGCUUCCUUUCCAUAAUGCAGCACAUCCGAAUCUUCCUGAUGCACAGUGAGAAUUUUACCACCUUAUUGGAAGUCCUAGAAGAAGGACAGUCUCAGAAACCAGAAUGAGGAAUACAGCUCUGAUGCAGAAUGGUGAGAACCUUCCCCUCUUCCUGCUCCUGACCAGGACCCUGAAGCUGCCCAGGAACAGUGGAGCAUAUAGAUUGAGAGAAUUGGUUUGCAGAGGGGCAUAGUUCAGAAAACAACAGCUGGGCAGAGCUGAGUGGGGAACAACUAGGAGAAGCAGAACAGGAAGAGAGAGAGAGAUAACUGACUCCCCUUCGCUGGAAAAUCUCCAGCCUCUCUCCCCAAGGACAAGGAGAGCUGAUAAGGUUGCUACGCAGAAGGCUCAGUGGUUGUGAGGUUGCAAGAAGGGGAGGUAAUGGGAAUGACUCUGGGGGAAGUAGGAGCAAAACUUAAUUGGGAGCACCUUCACUCUGAGAAUGGCUGUGUUGUUCUUUUGCUGUGAUCAUUAAACACUCUUAAACUGGUAAGGGACUCUAAUUGCUUUGUUCUGCUGAUGCACGGCCAAAGGGGUGGGGAGGAAGCCGUUUCCUCAAUGCCUGACAGGUAGGAUUCAGAAUGAAACAAGAUUCAGGAUGAAACAAUGCCUGACAGGUAGGAUUCAGGAUGAAACAAGAGGAGUAGUUCACAUAGUUCAGGGGCAGGGAAACUUUAUGGGUCUCUCUCCCAUAGCCUGUGGGUCAACUUUGGUGGGUGGGUUGGCCACGUACUUGUCAAUCAUCUGGCAGCUGAUGAGCAGAGAGUUUUAAUCCUGCUCUCUGCAGGCGUCCGCAUCACUGGUGCGUUCCCCACAGAGAAGAUGCUGAUGAAGCAACACACAGCAGGAGGAUGAGUUAAAUCCUGCUGCUUUGGCUUCAUGCAGAAGUUCCCUUUGGGGAAGCAGUGGGCACAGCCAACACAUAACUGAACCCCGUCCCUGCCUGUCAGCCAACAUCACCCGCCCAUUGAGAUGACGUCAGUUGAUUGGCAGGUGGUCAUGACUUGGGGGAGAUGGCCUCAUGAGCCAUAUUGGCUGGCCAAGAUUGGGCCGUGGGACAGAAGCUUCCUAUGUGGUAACUCAUCACAGGAAAAAUGUUUGUGUUGGAGUAGGACUGGGCUAGGGGCAAUAGGCUAGAGUGAACCAGGACAGAGCCGUCUUUCCCAUAGGGCUUAGUGGUGCGGCGCGCCAGGGCGCCAGCCUCUCAGGGGCGCCCCAGCGAGUGGGGGAGCUGCGCGGCUUUGCCGGCGGCCUCCCCUUUCCCUGCACGCAUGCCAGCUGUGCCCUGCCAACCAUAUGGCUGGCAGGCGUGCAGCUUGCCUCCCAAGCCUCUGUGGGGAUCGCUCUCCUGCAGUAGCAUGGGGGAGAGUUGCGCCUCCCCCCGAUGGCUGCAGUGCGCAGCUUCAUCCCAUCCCCGUCCCCCCACUAUCCGUGGUAACUGUUGACAUUGCUAUUCCACCUUAAGGAGCAGAUGUGUGGAACUGUUGUGUGUCACAUGUCUGUUUACAUUCCAGCACAGCUUGCUGGGAACUUCCGUUGUGUAUAGCUUUUGCUUUUAGCUGCUCUCUCUGAGACGACAUGCGAGAGAGAGAUGACAUGUUUCUUUGUCCUGAUUUAUGAUUAAUAAAUCCUUGUCCUGAUUUAUGAUUAAUAAAUCUGUAGUUGUAGUAUGCUUCCACAAGCCUCACGCCUAUUCUGUGUCCGGAGUUCAAUCUGCUGACAGUGUGCCCUGGCUCAGAAGCCCGGGUCACUGAUUUACAUCGGAGCAGAGGUGAUGUUCUUUGCUGCGGGACGGCUGGAAGGAGAUGGCCUAGCCAGGGCUAGCCAGCUGGCCUCCCUGCCCUCUGCAUGCCAACAGUAACUUGGGGGCACUGGGUGGAUAUUUGCACCCCGGCACCGCAUCUGCUAAAGACGGCCCCGAACCAGGAGCUGUUGGUACAGAAUUGAAGGACAAAUCUAGGAGGCAGGAUUGAGGAGCAAGCCAGAAGUCAGAACCAAAGGUAGGCUCCAGAGACUUGCUGAUCAAGCAAGGCUAAGCUGGAAGAGGAAGUCCUCUUAUGCUGCUUCCUGUGGCAAAAAGAGAGGGAAUCCUAAUUGUAGGCUUCACAUUUGCAUCUGAUUGGCCACUGUGGGGAAGAGGAUGCUCAGCUAGAUGGGCCUUUCUCCUGAUCCAGCAGGCCUCUUGUUUACAGACUUCAAUUCUUAGGAACGGAGAACUCCUGAAGACAGGCAGCCAGCAGUGGGCAUGGUUUGCUUACCUCUGUCUUUCUCUGACUGUUGGUGGGAGAGUCACUGGCAUUCUNNNNNNNNNNNNNNNNNNNNNNNNNNNNNNNNNNNNNNNNNNNNNNNNNNNNNNNNNNNNNNNNNNNNNNNNNNNNNNNNNNNNNNNNNNNNNNNNNNNNGGAUAUGAAUCGUGGCUAGCAUUUGUGUGCACACAGCUUCCCAAGCCAGCAGCAGGAGCACACUGGAUGCAGAAUACAGUGGUAGCUCUGGUUGUGAACGGAAUCCGUUCCGGAGGCCCGUUCGCAACAUGAAAAGAAUGCAACCCGCGUCUGCGCACGAUCGGGUAGCAAUUUGCCGCUUCUGCGCAUGCGCGUGAUGUCAUUUUUGCGCAUCUGCGCAUGCGUGAGCAGCGAAACCCAGAAGUAACCCUUUCCGGUACUUCCGGGUCGCCACUGGACGCAACCCGAAAAAACGUAUCAUGAAGCAAACGUAACAUGAGGUAUGACUGUAAAUGGGAAUGUGUACAGUACAUUUUGGCCCAUGCUCCUAGCUCCUGCAUGCUAUACCAGCUUUCCAUGUUGACAUGCAGAGACCCCCUGACUCUCCCGCUGUGUUUGCUAGGCCCACAUUCCACUGCGGAUGGUGGUCGGGCCGGGGAUUGGGGGAGGAAGAGCCGAGGCGACGCCGAGUGCGAAAUACCACUUCGUAAAUGCACCAGUGUCCCAAUGACAUUGCUCCUCCCCAGAGAGCCUGAGACGGAGGCUGCCUGCUUCUUCAUUCAUUCUCGAGAGUCGUCUCCCUCUGGGCACCUGUCAUUCCUUAUCGAUGGCAAUGGAUAUGGCAGACAAUGGGAACGGCCCGGGCUCAGACACUGCAGACAGCUGCUGGCUCCCGGGUCAGGCAAGGCUAGGCUGCCUCCUUCCUUAAAUCCCAGAUGAGUCCACCCAUGCUGGCUUUAACCAUUUGGAGACAUUUCAAAUCCGCAUGCAUUGUAUGUGUGUUGGCCCUGUGCUAUUUCCUGCUACGGCUCGGAGGAGGCACUGCUAAGAAGACGGAGGCUGCAGGCCUACACUCCUAGCUAGUCAUUCCCUUUCUUCUGCGCAGACACGCAUAGGACUGCAACUUCAGAGGCUCAGUCGUUCUUAGAAGGUGAGGCACCCAUGUUCUUUGCUGAAUUCAGGGCGGAGUGAAUCAAAACCAGGCUGGCAGACCCUCCAAGUGCCCUCAUUUUCCAGGGACAGUCCUGCAUUAUAAUAAUAAUAAUAAUAAUAAUAAUAAUAAUAAUAAUAAUAAUAAAUUUACUUAUACCAAUGUUCUUUGCUGAAUUCAGGGUGGAGUGAAUGAAAACCAGGCUGGCAGACCCUCCAAGUGUCCCCAUUUUCCAGGGACAGUCCUGCAUUCAAAUAAUAAUAAUAAUAAUAAUAAUAAUAAUAAUAAUAAUAAUAAAUUUACUUAUACCAAUGUUCUUUGCUGAAUUCAGGGCAGAGGGAAUCAAAACCAGGCUGGCAGACCCUCCAAGUGUCCCCAUUUUCCAGGGACAGUGCUGUAUUCAAAUAAUAAUAAUAAUAAUAAUAAUAAUAAUAAUAAUAAUGGUUUAUUAUUUAUACUCCACCCAUCUGGCUGAGUUUCCCCAGCCACUCUGGGCGGCUCCCAAUUGAGUGUUAAAAGCAACACAGCAUUAAAUAUUUAAAACUUCCCUAAACAGGGCUGCCUUCAGAUGUCUUUUACAAAUAGGAUAGCUGCUUAUUUCCUUGACAUCUGAUGGGAGGGCGUUCUACAGGGUGGGCGCCACUACCGAGAAGGCCCUCUGUCUGGUUCCCUGUAACCUCACUUCUCGCAAUGAGGGGACUGCCAGUAGGCCCUCGGCGCUGGAUCUCAGUGUCCGGGCUGAAUGAUGGGGGUGGAGACGCUCCUUCAGGUAUACAGAAGCCAUCCCAGCUUCUGAUUUGAUCCCGGAAUGUCCUGCUUUUCCUAGGAUGUCCCUAUUUUCAUUGGAGAAAUAUUGGAGGGUAUGGUGGGAUGUCCCUUUUUUCACCAAAGGAAAGUUGGAGGGUAUGAGAAAGUCAGUUCUGUUCCUGAGCACUACAACAGCGGUCUUCUCACUUGCAAUUCUCAGCAAAUGUUGUUGCUGUGUUGUGGAUGAAAUGAGUUACUACUACUACUACUACUACUACUACUACUAAUGGAAUCGGACAUCCCUAUUUUCAUUGGAGAAAUGUUGGAGGCUUCCCUUCUAUUAAGUCCUGGAAGGGAAGUGGUUGACUAGCAGAAUUUUUAUUAUUAUUAUUAUUAUUUUUAAAAAAAACCUUUAAACUUUAGCACAUUCUUUCAGGAAGUUCUCCUGCAAAAGCCCCGUCAAAAUAAAGAGAAGCUGAGCAAAGAAUUUUGCAGGCCCUUACUUGGCAGAAAAUAUUUUGCCCAGCCGAACUUGUCUUGGCCUAAUAACGUGGUAGGGGACGUGCGGCUGUAGCUAACCCAUAUUUUCUGUGUGGCUUCUAAAGAAAGCCAUAUUGUGCGAUGUCAUUAUUUUCAGGAAUGUCAUUAUCUUCAGAGGUGAUGACAUCACGCAGGAGUGGCACCAGCAGCUGGCAGUGGACAAGGAGGGAGGGAAAGAUGGUGACGGGGGGAGGGGGCACAGUGAGGGUAGAGUGGCAGCAAGAGCAAGAGAAAAGGGGUUUGCCCCACCCCCUUGCAGCUCUGGCCCCACCCACUUUUGCUCAGCCAAUGGCAUCCUCUCUGGACCGCCAUUUGCUCUGGUUUUGUCGCAUGUGGCCCAUUAGUUGGGAAACAGCAUCAGCUGCCACGUGGCUCCUUUCCCUUCAAUACAGCAGCGGGCAGCUUAGAUUUGCUUCGAAGAAAAGUGUUGAAUUUUAAUGUGUCAUUUAGACCCUGGUGAAUGAAUACCCUCCUAUUGCAAGCGGGGAAGGCUGUAGAAAGUGAUUGUUAUUGCUAUUGUUAUUCUCAUUUAUUUAUUUUGAAUCCCUCCCUUCACUUGUAAAUCUCAGGGCGGUUCGCAGCCUAAAAAUACAAGAUAAAAAACACAAAAUUCAAAAUGCGUAGAGAAUUCUUGAAGGAUCUCGAACAAAAACCGGUUUUCUCCUUUCUAAUAUGAUAGGGAUGCACACAUUCAUCUAUCUAUCUAUUUGUCUAUCUAUCAUCUAUCUAAAGUAAAGGUAAAGGGACCUCUGACCAUUAGGUCCAGUUGUGGCCAACUCUGGGGUUGUGGUGCUCAUCUCGCUUUAUUGGCCGAGGGAGCCGGCGUACAGCUUCCGGGUCAUGUGGCCAGCAUGACUAAGCCGCUUCUGGCGAACCAAUGCAGCACACAGAAACGCCGUUUACCUUCCCACCAGAGCGGUACCUAUUUAUCUACUUGCACUUUGACAUGCUUUCAAACUGCUAGGUUGGCAGGAGCAGGGACCGAGCAACAGGAGCUCACCCCAUUGUGGGGAUUCGAACCGCCGACCUUCUGAUCGGCAAGUCCUAGGCUCUGUGGUUUAACCCACAGUGCCACCUGCGUCCCUACUAUAUCUAUCUAUCUAUCUAUCUAUCUAUCUAUCUAUCUAUCUAUCAUCUAUCAUCAUCUAUCAAAUGACUACCGCAGAGGCUGUCUGAGUUUGAUGCAGAGAUGGCAGGGCAGGUUGGAUCCAGAUAUCCUUCCCAUAAAUGCUGGCACAUUCCUGGUGUCGCGUGGAAGGAUCACCCAGCGGGUAAUAGCCUUGUGCUGGCGCAACGCCAAAUUCUAAUGCCCAACGACUUCAAGCGACCAGCUGCUGACAUGAUGCGGAGCGAUAGAUGUCUGGGAAGGGCGGCACAGCUUUCCACCCCCUCCCCUUACUUCCUGCCCCCUUCAGCUAUUUUGUCCCAGUUUUUUUUCCCCUCCCCACCCCUCCUAGGCUCCCCAAGUACGCGAGGACAAAUCGGCAGCGACAAGAUCCAGGGUCUGGGUUGGGGGAGGAGGAGCUGUGGUGUGACUCAGAGGACAUGACAAACUGUGACUGUAGGGUUCUUUUUUGGAAGAGGGUCUAUUAGGGAUGAUCCAAGAGAGAGAUUUGUUUUUGAGAGCCUGUUUCUAAGCGGGGGAGGAAAAAAAGCAUUGUUUUUCAAAGAAUUCAAGCCUGUGGACUUGUACAAUAGAAUCAACAUAUGUCUUAUUCCAAUAAUCCAAAAACGCCCUCCGGACUUCAUAAUACAAUCCUUCUCUUUGCGGUAGGUCUUUCCUUAUACAAAUAGGGUAUAAAUCAGCUUAACCGGAUCUGCUUUUAACCAUUGGUGGCCCUGGAUGCUGUUACAGUUGAAGAAUGCGAAGAAGACAGAGCCGGCCCAUCCAGUAAACAGAUGGGACAUUUCCCUCGAUGUUGAAACUGCACCGGUUACUGCUGUUUGAUUGCUGGUUUCCACUUCAUUAUUAUUUUCAUUAUGAAUGUGUUGGUUUUCUGGUCAGUUUUACAAGAGGCACUUGCUGAAGAAUGGUGCCUAAGAUAUUGAGAUGGCUAACUAAAAGCAGACGGCAAGCAUUGUAAAGACUCGGCUGACGUUUCAAAGUACUGUAUGUGGGACUGGCGCUUGCACGAUGAAAGAAGAGCAGAUUUGCAAGACCUCUUUUGCAAACCGAAGCAAAACCUCAGCAUCUAGACCAGGGGUAGGGAACGUCUAGCCCAUGAGCCAAACUCAGCACAACAGGCCUUCCUGUUUGGCCUAGGAGGCUGUUUUCCCCAAGCCAAGUCCACCUGUCCACACAUGAUGUUAUAUGCAAUGUCAGGUAUUAAGGCAGUUGCAAAAAUCAGGACUGAACCCUCUGCAUAUCAGCUAAGGAAAUUAAAUCCGGCUUGAUCUGAGCAUGCCAACCAGUUCUCAGGGGAAGGGGAACUGGCUGGCUUCCCCGACCUCUGUAGAAAUCAGGAUUGAACCCUAGAUCUAUGAUUGACUCUAGCUCAGAGGAGAGCAGGACCUGGGCUGACUGUCACACUUCACCCUGGAAUCAACUCAGCAGAAUCAGAUGCCGGGGUUCCACACACCUGUGGACCUCAGUUUAUAAUAAAAACACCAGAAGCUGCCUUAGAUUAGAUUAUGUUGUCCAUCUAACUUGGUAUUAUAUUUUCUGACCGGAAGCAGAUAUCCAGGGUCUCAGGCAGAGGAAGAUCUUCCCUGUCAUUUGCUAUUUCUAAUCCCUUUUCAACUAGUGAUUCCAGAGAUCUAACAGAUCCUGGGAUAGCUCAGUCAGUAGAGCAUGAGAAUCUCAGAUCGUGGGUUCAAACCCCACACUGGGCAAAGAAAUUCCUGCAUUGCAAGGGGUUGGACUAGAUGACCCUCGUGGUCCCUUCCAACUCUACAUUUCUGUGAUUCUUCUGCACGCAGAACAGCUGCUCUGGUUCAGCUAUCGCCACCUCUCCUCUAAACAACAUACCAGGUCACCAUCAUACAGCUUAGUCAGUACUUUUCCGUGGGUUUGUAGCCAACUAAGUCCUAGUCGGAGUAAAAAGGUAAAGGUAAAGGACCCCUGACAGAACGACUCUGGUCCCUUCUUAACCUGAAACUGUUCUUAACCUGAGGUACCACUUUAGCUGAUGGGGCCUCCUGCUGCCGCUGCGCCGCCGCCACACAAUUUCUGUUCUCAUCCUGAAGCAAAGUUCUUAACCGGAGGUGCUAUUUCUGGGUUAGCAGAGUCUGAACCUGAAGCGUCUGUAACCUGAAGCGUCUGUAACCUGAGGUACCACUGUAAAGGUAUAGGUACCCCUGACUAUUAGGUCCAGUUGCAGAUGACUCUGGGGUUGUGGUGCUCAUCUCACUUUACUGUCCGAGUGAGCCGGCGUUUGUCCGCAGGCAGUUUUUCUGGGUCAUGUGGCCAACAUGACUAAGCCGCUUCUGGCAAACCAGAGCAGCACAGGGAAACGCCGUUUACCUUCCCGCUGUAGUGGUACCUAUUUAUCUACUUGCACUUUGACGUGCUUUCGAACUGCUAGGUUGGCAGGAGCAGGGACCAAGCAACAGGAGCUCACCCAGUCGCGGGGAUUCGAACCGCCGACCUUCUGAUCAGCAAGCCCAAGGGGCUCUGUGGUUUAGACCACUGCGGAAAUGAAUGAACCUAUGUUCACUAUGAGUAGGACUAAAGGUAAAGGGACCCCUGACCAUUAAGUCCAGUCGUGGCCGACUCUGGGGUUGCGGCGCUCAUCUUGCUUUAUUGGCCGAGGGAGCCAGCGUACAGCUUCCGGGUCAUGUGGCCAGCAUGACUAAGCCGCUUCUGGCAAACCAGAGCAGUGCAUGGAAACGCCGUUUACCUUCCUGCUACCUAUUUAUCUACUUGCACUUUGACGUGCUUUCGAACUGCUAGGUUGGCAGGAAUAGGACUAGGAGUAGGACUAGCCUUGGAUAUAACCUGGCAACUCCAGAGGCCAUUGCAGGCUGCAAUGUGCAUCGUGUGCAGUGACCCCCCCCCCUUAUGUGCUGUGCAGCUCAAAUGUCCUUCUUUGGGAUGCGUUUGGGGCACUAAGCUGCAUCGCGAGCUUGCAGUUUUGCUGGAGUUUUGCUGGAGCAGGAGGAAACGGGGUUGCCUAGCAACCACAAAGUGCUUACCUUCCUCCCCAGAACUAAAUGGCUACAGCAGUGCCGGAAGGAUGAGCUAUCUCCAGAGCCUGGGGCGGGAGGAGGGAGUUCAGCAUCACCCCGCACCCCCUUUAUGGGUAGCCAAAACCAAAAGGUUGGCCUCGUUGCCCCCACUGCUUUCCCAGGGGGUGCCUAGUUCUCCCCACCCCACCCCAUACAUCUGCUGGCCUCCUGCCAGCCGCCGCUCCCAACCACAAUCUCUUCCCUGCAGCUCUGCUUUGACAUUGCCCUCGCAGCAGCCUGACCUUCCCCAAGCCUGAACAUUCAUCCUUGCCGAGCACAGAGUCAGCAGCCAGGCCGGGGCAGAAGUCGCACGGCACGCUGACAGGCCUGCCCUCCGAGGCAGCCUGCGACGAGCGGAACGGGGAAAGGAUCUGCCAGCGGCUAGGCCAGAUGCGCUUGACCGCUUUCAGGAGUUGGGGCCCCCACAGGUGAGAUAGAUGCUCUAACCCAGGGCUCAGCAAACUUUUUCAGCAGGGGGCCGGUCCACUGUCCCUCAGACCUUAUGGGGUGCCGGACUAUAUUUUGAAGAAAAAAAUGAACGAAUUCCUAUGCCCCACAAAUAACCCAGAGAUGCAUUUUAAAUAAAUGCACACAUUCUACUCAUGUAAAAACAUGCUGAUUCCCAGACUGUCUGCAGGCCAGAUUUAGAAGGCGAUUGGGCCAGAUCUGACCCCUGGGUCUUAGUUUGCCUAGGUAAAGGGACCCCUGACCAUUAGGUCUAGUCAUGACCGACUCUGGGGUUGCGGCGCUCAUCUCGCUUUACUGGCCAAGGGAGCCGGCGUACAGCUUCCGGGUCAUGUGGCCAGCAUGACUAAGCCGCUUCUGGCGAACCAGAGCAGCACACGGAAACGCCGUUUACCUUCCCGCCAGAGCGGUACCUAUUUACCUACUUGCACUUUGACGUGCUUUCCUGCUAGGUUGGCAGGAGCAGGGACUGAGCAACAGGAGCUCACCCCGUCGCGGGGAUUCGAACCGCGACCUUCUGAUCAGCAAGCCCUAGGCUCUGUGGUUUAACCCACAGCGCCACCCGCGUCCCUAGUAGAGUUGUAGAUAGAUGUUAAUAAAGUUGUAGACAAUGAAGUUGUAGACGACAGGGUGCUGGCGUUUUGCACCUGUUUCCCCUUGGCAGUGUAAAUAAUCAAAAGGCCGCUGUUAGCCCCCGAUGGGGCCCUUUAACUGGGGCUUGCAGGUAAAACACUCCCAAGAUAGUUUUCCGGGCUUCAUCAGUGGUCCCCACCAUCCCUGGAUUAUUACACAAGCAAAGUGGAGCAAAGGGUGUGCAGGAACAGUCACCACCAUCACCCCAAGAUGCCUGGAAGGGAGCUCAUGCUCUAACCAUUGCAAAAGGGCCAGGCCCCACAUACGGAGACAAUGUGCCAAAGUCUUCUGUGCAGAUGACUCAAGCAAGCUAGCAAUGCAUUGGCUCUCUCUUUUUACCUUCACCCGCUUCGCAGUGAAAACAGCAUGCUGCUUCAUAAAGGCGCCUAAUCUCUUCAUUCUCUGUAAGGUUGCUGGGCCAUGAACAGUGUGCCUGCCACUCCACCAUGCUCCGUUGUCCUGGGCUACCUUUACGUGGCACAUUAAUCUUCCAGACCAGUGGUGGGGAGCCACUGGCCUAAUUUCACGCAGACCUUCAGGUGCUCUGGGCUUGCUCUUGCUUUCCGGACUGCCCUUCUGGGAAUCACUUGUUGUUCUGCUGUUUGCCUGCGGCUGGGGGGAGAGGUAGAGAAGGAGACAUGGCUGCACUAGAAUAAGGCUUAAUUUUUGGAAUGACGCAGGAGGGGAUCCAGUUCAGUUCACGUUUCAUGGCAAACAUCGUUCUGCCCGGACACUGAGGUCCAGCACCGAGGGCCUUCUGGCGGUUCCCUCGCUGCGGGAAGCCAAGUUACAGGGAACCAGGCAGAGGGCCUUCUCGGUAGUGGCACCCGCCCUGUGGAACACCCUCCCAUCAGAUGUCAAGGAAAUAAACAACUAUCUGACUUUUAGAAGACAUCUGACAUCCGGAAGAUUUUUUUUCCCUUACGUUUUUAUGUGUGUUGGAAGCUGCCCAGAGUGGUUGGGGCAACCCAGCCAGAUGGGUGGGGGUAAUAAUAAUAACAAUAACAGCAAUAAUAAUAAUAGUUGUCAUGUCCAAUCAUCAACAGGUGGCUGCAGUCCUGAGCUGCUUUGCAGUUUAACGAAACCCAAGUCUUAAUCCCGUCAUAGCAACCUUUGCUUUGUCCUCCGCAACCUUAUCUCUUAAACCCUGACAGGCCAGCCAGCCUCUCUCAGGGGCCAAGUCUGGCCCAGAGGUUGCCAGUUGCCGAUCACUGUGGCAAAUGAACAGCUUUUCAAUAUCAUCCUUUUCUGUCUCUUUUUUUCUGGAGGAGACGGGUGCUUCAGCCCUUGCCCUCGAGCUUUCCACUGUUCAUUAAAAGGUAAGCGAAAGACCGUUCCCUUCGGACCAGCCGCUGAACGGCUGAGAGGGAACAAAUUCCAGGCGGCUCUUGCCACCCCCAUCCGACAGCAGCAGCUGCCUGAUUAAACCUGGCUAAUUAUCGAUCAAUAUCAGACUACCUAUGAUUCCCCGGUUGCUAUGCCAGUUAAGCUUGUAUCUCCACUAGGUGCUGGUUUCUUACAGAAGGACCACAUAACACAGUCUUCCCAAUAUGAAGGGAUUGUGAAGAGAGCUUGGUUUUCUUCUAAAAAAAAAAUCUAAUAGGACUGUGACAAGUGAAAAUAAAACAUAUUUCCCUUAUUCCAGGGGUGGGGUGGGGGUUCUAUUUCAGCUCAAAGGUUGCAUUCCGUUGUAGGGGGGAGUUGGGGGGGUACGAAAGUGGUAGUUGGGCCAGAGGCAAAAAUGGACAGAUUAGUGGAUGUCUCUGAACUUGUGACCACUUAUAUACCAUAUUUUUCGCUCCAUAAGACGCACUUUUUUUUCUUCCUAAACAGUAAGGGGAAAUGCGUCUUAUGGAACGAAUGUGUGGUCCCUGGAGCCGAAUUGCCCAGGAGCGAAAAGCAGAUCAUGCUUUUUUUUUUUUUUUUUUUUGAAAGAGGGUGUGCUGGACCCGGGGGGGGGGUUACCGAGAGGCAUGGUCAGAGUCCGGUCCUGGCUCGAGGGUCUGGAGACUGUCCACCAAGGGUGAAGCGGGGUCCAAAGCAGGAAGCCAGGCGUGGUCAGGAACUCCGGAAGAACAGGUCUGGGUGCUGGCAGAAACAGGUUUCCAACGACGUUGCUCCUGCAACCUGGGACUGGGCUGACUGGCCUUUAUCUUCUCUGAGGCCAGGGGCGGUCCCGGCCCACAGGUGACUCGCCUCUCCUGGCCUUAAGGCAAGCACUCCUCCUGAGACAACCCAGUUCUGUCCGCCUCAAUGCCCUGAGCCUCUGCAGCUCAGGAGAGGCUGGAGGGUUACUGGACCCAGGGGGAGGCUCACCUUCCCCUGACAGGGCUGGGAGAGGCGCACCUGUAGGCAAUGGGUCCUCAAUCACCUCCGGAGCCAGAGUGGAUUCAUCUGGUGUCUGCUCCUGAGGAUCCGGCACAGGUGCAGGCGCUUCAGAUUCAAGGCCCUGCCCCGGCUCAGCCGGCCCUGGAGGCGGGGACUCCUGUCCAGGCUGGGAUUCCUCUGGUUCAGCCUCUGAAUCGGAUUCCCAGGCCAUCACAGAGGGAAGUGGGUGUUGAAACAAAGCAGCUGAUUAUUUGCCAAUCAGGGAGAGAGAUAAGGGACGCUAGAGAUAAAGGAGGCUGCCUGGGAGGGGGGAGGUAAAGACAGCAAACCUGCAAAGGGGGGAAGCAGGAAGACUAAAGCAAUAAGGAGAGAAAUUAGAAGAAAAGGAGGAGCAAAAAACUGCUCCAGCUAAGGAAAAGACAUUAAAGCAAACAAGAGGGAAGGGAGUGUUGAAAGGAAACAGCUGAUCGGUGGGAUCGGAAGAGAGAUAAGGGACACUAGCGGAGGGGGGAGGUAAAAGCCCAUGGAUCCUCAGGAUUUUUACAUUGGGUCACCCCAAAUUCACCAUCAGAUCACAUAGCAUGUCCAUGGCUACAGCCUGCACCCAAAAAAUCACGCACCCACUGUUGCGUGGGGCCGCAAUGGCACAAAAACAUUGUUACAAAGCACGGAUCCACAUGGAUGCUCAGGAUUUUUGCAUUGGGUCACCCCAAAUUCACCAUCAGAUCACAUGUCUGUGGCCACAGCAUGAACCACAAAAAUCAUACAUCCACUGUUUCGUUCAGAAUAUUUUUUGUCUUGUUUUCCUCCUCUAAAAACUUAUGGUCAGGUGCGUCUUACGGAGCGAAAAAUACGGUAUAUCUCUCUCUCCAUUCAGCAUACCAGCAAGCAAGAGGCAUUCGCAGAAUUCAGGCAGGCAAAAUCACUCGAGAAGCGGGUAGACAGGGGCUGGGGUGAGGUUUGGCAUGACAAUAAGUGGGGUACCAGGGAAAGAUGUGUGUCCUAGAGCCAGAAAGUGGGGGGCCACUUUUGGCUCCUGGACCGGUGUGGUGUGGGCAGACAGAUUCAAGACAAGCCCUACCUAAUUCGCAUUUUCUGAAAAAAUAUCAGAUCCAGGAGCUGUCCUGCGGAAUUUGCACUUCUUGAAUUUUGCAAUGGUACUCGGAGCAACGGGAGCUCACCCCGUCGCGGGGAUUCAAACUGCCAACCUUCUGAUCGGCAAGUCCUAGGCUCUGUGGUUUAACCCACAGUGCCACCCGCGUCCCAACAUACACAUACCCAGCUCCAAUUCCUAGUACCCUUAAGAACAUAAGAAGAAUCUGCUGUAUCAAGUCAAUGGCUCAAUCUAGCCCAGCAUCCUGUUCUGUGGCCAACCAGAUGCAAGCCACAGUUCCCAGGAUUAUUUGGGAGAGGUCAUGUGCUUUAGGUGCCUGGUGUGUGCACAGACUAACACAAAAAAAAUUAGUAAUAACUGAGCCAGGGGAUUCCCAAGGCAUGCAGAAGUACAAAACUCAAUGGCUUGGAGCAACCAGCUCAGACUUCUUAACACGCUGAGCUUCUCAGGUAGACUGUGGGAAUAGAGACUUGAUAACCUAGCCCCUCCCAAGAUGAGCUAAACCUGGCAGGACAGUUUACUCUAUGGCUUUAACCCCUUCAUGCAUUAAUCAGACUUAAGCAGAGCGUUUUUUUUCAGCCAGAACUUGCGUGCCAAGGCCCAGGGCCCUGCAGUUCCCUUAGAUCAGAGACACAAAGUUAAUGGGAUAAAAUAGGCCACAACUUUAUUGGUUACAGAUGUGAGUGGUUUGGCUUAGGCAUUGGGUGAAACCAGACUAUAUCCCGACUCUUGCCCAUCUACAGGGAGUCUCACUAAAGGGUAAACCACCAGUAGGGGGAGCCCUAUGACAUACGUCAAAUUACGGCACCCCGCAGGGUUUCCAUUGGGGUCGUGGCAUAGCCCUAGCCCACGUCCAGGCUUCGGGCAGGAUCCACACACCCCAGAUCCCUUUAACAGGAUACGCUUAUUGAAGAGGGGCAGGCGGAGGCUACAACCUCCCCUCCUUUAAACAAAGGCUUGCCCAAUGCCUAACCUUACAGAGUUGUGACGGUUGCUACAAGGUAGGCGAAAACCAAAUGGCACCCCAAGAUGAGCUAAACCUGGCAGGACAGUUUACUCUAUGACUUUAACCCCUUCAUCCAUUAAUCAGACUUAAGCAGAGCGGUUUUUUCAGCCGGAACUUGCCGGAACUCAAUUCCGGCACCUCUUAGGUUUGCUACAUUGCCAUUAUAAGAGAACAAGGGAGGCGAGUUCCAGAACCUUUUUCUAGGAAAAUAGCACUCAGCUUAAGCAUGUCGGUUAUAUAAAACUGUUUAUCGCACGCUAGCCUCCCAUGUAGGUAGGUAGAGAUUGUCUUUGAAAAGCUUCCAUCCUUAUAAAUACUGAAAUACUGAAAAUUGGAGGUGGGGGGGAGGGGUAGAGAGAUUUAUACUGUCAUUCUACACACACUUCCCUGUGAGUAAGCUUUCCUAGAAACCAGGUGACUUACUUCCAAGUAAACAUGUCUAGGAUCUGGCUGUUAAAAAUCUCCAUUUGAUGCCCCUGGCUGAAAGGGUUUUGGUAUAUGCCGUUCUAGGUUGCACAGGGACAUUUUCCCCCUCCAGCGUAUGAUAUUCAGGGCAGGAUACUGCUAAGUGUGUUCCUUUAAAUUUGAAUGUAUCCAUUAUGCCGCCUGUCACUCUGCAAAGCUAAUCUGUCCUUCUCUUCCUCUCUCCCUUUGACCCUCAGUGGCUUCAAACAUUAAAUUGGCUCUGCUUUAUUAUUUAUAUACACAUCCCUUUGGAAGAGUCGGGGAUCAGGGGGGAAAGUGGGGGAAGUGGGAGCCCGCGCCAAAUUGCGUCUCCAAUUUUGUGUCAUUUUCUCUUAUUAAAAGAAGCCCCUUGUGUUGUUCCGCAAAUUGGCCCUCUGCAAAAAAGAAAAUGAAUGGGGUUUUGUGUUUUAUUUAAUAUCCCGCGCGCACACACACCUGGAUACCAAUUCUUAGAGGAUAUCUGGGU
rnacentral:lncRNA from 1 species